rnacentral:lncRNA from 1 species
AAUGGAUUAACAAUAUGACCAGCACCAAUACCGUCUUCACUGUUUGAACCAACAGAAACUGAGUCCAACACUAGGUAUCACGCACAUCAUAGAAAUCCUUCUCAUGUAAAUCUAUAAGAAAACCCAUAUGUGAAGGAUGUCUCCUCUCCACCUAUAGAAAGUCAUUGGUCUUCGCUAACAAUUUCAGAGUUAUCUGUAUGAUGCUCCCUAGGGAACUUCUGAACCUGAGAAGGUACAAUACAUUCAGGUAUAUCCAGUUCAUCAAUGUCAGAUGUGUAUAUAUUUGGUGAUUGAAAACUUGUAAAAAUACCAUUGCUGCUGCCUGCAAAAUCAAUUAUAUUAAGCAAACUAUCGAAUGGCGAAACUUCUGGUAACAUUGCAUGUGAUCCAGAGUUCAAGUCAUUGUCACCACAGAUUUCAGAUGCUUAACUUCCAUGGGUAUACUCUUACAAACUUCUGACUCUUUGGAGCCAACAUCACACAAAUGCUUCUUUUUAUGUUUUCCCUUCCUUCUUGCCUCCUUUCAUGAAUUUCCCUUUGUAGCCUUGUCUUAUUCGGCAUAAUAGAUGAACAUAGCAGAUGGAUUAGCAGCAUUAGAUCCUUUUGACAUAACAGCAGAGGAAUCGUUGCAAGUAAUGGAGCUAUAACGGGAAGAGUUGUUGGACACUUCAAUUUAGUUAUUUUAUUUGCAACAGUCCUGUUGUGAAAUUGAUGUUGCACAUUGGAUCCAGAAACAGUUCUAAAAGGCUUGGCAGAAAAAGUAAUCUCAGGUUAAGGCCCUUUCUGGGUCUUCCAUCCAUUAACCUUAAAAGGAAUUCAUGGAUGGAGAGGAGACCAGAUGCAGGCCUUUCAUAUUCACCUGAGCUCCAGAUCCAAAGUGAUCAAAAUAUUGCCAGGUCAAAAUUACUCAAGCUAAUCACAAAGUAAAAGAGUAAGAACUCAAUUAUUUAACAUUGGCAAAGAAUAGGAAAAGUAUCUAACCUCUGACGAUCUUCUACAAUCAUUCAGCUGCAAAGAAUUCUUGGACUGGUUAGCCUUUCCUAACCCUGACAUUUUUAAUUAUUUAGAUAAGUUCAUCAAACAUGACAAGGCAUCUUUCACUGUAUCUGUCCAAGUCAAUAGCAAUAACAUGUGAAUGGCCAGCUUUACUAAGAGCUCAUGAAGAUUUACUCAAUUCAAAAACCACAUUUGAAAUCAAAACUUUUCCACAGUAAUUACAACAAGAACAACUGUUUAUAAAAACUAGGUAAACAAAAAUGACAGCCAACAAAUUUCAGUUAAUGAAAAUCCCUAAGAAAUGCCCAGAUGCAGCAAUCUAUUCCAACCCAAAAUUGAUAGAAAAAGAUAUAAAACUUAAGAAUAGGGAUAAGAGAAUUGCACAAAUGAACUAAUUUUAACAAAUUUUAGAGCCAUUCAAUGAACUAACUACUACUGUCAAAUAAACAAGUAACUUCACAAAGUUUAAACCAUUAUCACUUAUCAACUUCUUUUGACGGUGAAGAAAGAGAGGAUAAUAGGUUCAGUGGGUAAUAAAUUAAGGCUUGCUAGAGAUUAUAUUUCUCGAUGCUAAAAAGGAAAGUUCUAAACCAUUUCAAUUUCUAUCCCAAAUAGUGAAAUUGGUUUCCCUUCAAACCACUUCACACUUAAAGUUCUCAUAGCAUAGAUUCUGGGCUCCAUCGAAUCAUUACUUGAUGGUGUGUGUCCAGUAAACAUAAUCCACUUAACAAGUAAACAGAUAAAAUACUAGAUUGGAACAGGAAAAAUAUUGCAAUGUUAACUAAGGGCAGUAGCUCAACCCUAUCGACACAAAAUCCGUAUAAUUUGAAAGAACAGAAGGUCACAUAAAUCAGACUGCAUGAAACAAACAUCACACUUGUAGGAAAGCUAAAACAAAGAACCAAUAACUAUUCAACUAGUUGACUAUAGCAAACCAAAUAAUCAGGGAAAAGAAAAUCGAUACCAAUUAAUUUUGAACAAGAUCUCAACACAAUUAAAAUCAAUCACAUCACUUGGCUUUGUGCAAGAGGAGAAUAAGGAAAUAGAACAGCCAUUACAGAGUCAGAUACCUCGUCAAUCCCACUGCAGCAUGAACAAUAACUGUGUGUCCAGUUUCAACCUGUAUUGCAUGAUAUUGUAUUACAACUUUUGUUAAUAUAAUUAAAACUCUACCCUCAAACUAAAAUAAGAGGAUAAAGAGACACAACCAAGCACCAAACCUACAUCAUGAUUAUAAUUAUGACACAACUUGUAUCCACAGGAAUGAUAGAAAAAUUAACAAAAACAGAGGAGACUCUUUGAUUGUUGUAACCAAUCCAAAGUUCUCUUAUAUUGCAGAUCUGACUCUGCCAAGCUCUGUUUUUGAUGAUUUAAUUGUUUCGAUUGAUCUGCACCGAUUGCAAACAUAUCCAAGCGGCCUGGCGAAGAUUAAAGCAAAGGACAUCUGAUCUCCGAUUUGGUGCAUACCCGUGACUUUCAUGAAUUUUAGUGAGAUCUGCAGAAGAAAUAGAGAUGAAGAGAUGAAGUUGGCUUUUGGUAAAUGGAGUUUCUGAGAACGGGAAACAGAAAAGGCUUCAAUCUCAAACUAAAGUAAGCAAAGCCCUACGAUGACUUUUUGUCUGACAACUACCAUCUAACCCCACCCUUGUGAAAGUACAUGUUAGACAAUUUUUAUUGUAUGGUGAUGCCUAAGGUAAGGCUUUGAAGGUCCUAUAAUUUAGACCGUUAGAUUUAGAAACAAAAGGGAUAACCAUAUAUCAAUAAGAGGAUGGAUGGCAAGGAGUUAUUGUCAUAUAAUUUUAAAUAAAAUCAUUCAUAUUUUGGUUAAUAUGAAUAAAUAAUCUUUUAAAUAUUAUAUUAAUUAACAAAUUUAUAAUUUAUGUAUUAAAUUAAAAAAAUUUAAAAUUUAAUAUCAAAUAAAGAUUUUAUUAUAAUUUAAAAAUCAUCUAUGAUAUUAAUCUUUAACAAAAAAUCAAUAGAUUAAGUUGGAUUCUAUAUUUGAACAUUUCAAUAAUUUAAGUAAAUCAAGUUAAAUUGAAUAUCAUAACUCAAUCCUUUUAUCUUUUUUUAUUAGAAUUAUAGUGUCUUCUUUUAUUAUUUAAAAAAAUAUAUAUUAUAAAUAUCGAAGUUGUAGAAUCUAAUAUUUAAAUUUUUGUCAUGUAUGAAUAAAAAUUAAAUUAUCAAAAUUUAAGUCACCUCACAUUUUUUGUUUUUUCUUUUCUUUUUGCCAAAAUUUUUUAAUAUUUAAUAAAUAUUUUGUAUAGAUUUUUUUUUAUAAAAUAGAAUAUGCUUUAUACCAAAAUUUUCUUUUUGAGUUUUUUAACAUUUUUAAAUUCAGAAAUGUUAUAUUUAUAAAUAAUUAAGAUAUAAUUUAUGCAAUUAUCCUUUUUUUAUAUGAAUUUUGUUUAUUUUAAUUUUUAUUUCACCCUCAUUAAAGGUGUCAACAUGACAUUUGAUGUUUUUUUUUCUUUUUUCUUUUUUUUCUCAACUUUUUAUUUUUAAUUUAAAUAAAUUUGCAGAAAAAUCCAUUUGAAAAAAAUUGUUUUAUUUAUUUUUUAAAUCAAAAUUAAAUUGAGACAAAUUAAGUUUUUUAUGAGAAAUAAGAUAAGAUAAUAGCGUGUUUAAGAUAAUUUAGACUAACUCAUUUUGGAGUAUAUAUAAAAAUAUUUUUUUUAUUAUUAAUUUAUAUUAAUAUAUAUAUAACUCAAUUUAAGAAAUUAAAAUUUUAAACUUAAUAGAAUGUCCAUGUGGUAUUCUUAUAAGUUUCUUCUUCAAUUUUUAAACUUUUUUUAUUUUUUAUUUUUUUCAUUUUUGUCUUUUUACUUUUUAUAUUUUACUUUUUAAAAUUUUCGCUUAAAUAAAUUUUGUAAGAAUAUGAGGUUGAAUAAGAUAUUCACGCACAUCUCCAUUUGUUUUUAUUUUUUUGUCACUUUUUGUUUUUUUUAAUUAAAUAAAUUUUAUAACAAAAAAUCAAUAAAUAAAGAUAGCAAAAUAAUAAAAAAAAUUUGACCUGGCAACGCAUAGGCAAUCCACCAAAUCCAACACUUAAAUUUUGAUUAUGUACAGAUGAACAACACAUAACUAAAAUUUAAGCCAUGUCACCCUUUUUGGCUUUUUUUUUGACAAAUUUUUUAAUAUUUAGUAAAUAUCUUAAAUUUUGGUCAUUUAAUACAUGACCAAAAUUUAAAUGACCAAAAUUUAAGUCACAUUACUAUUUUUUCCUUUUUUCUAUCAAAAGUUUUUAAUAUUCAAUAAAUAUUUUUAUAGAUUUUAUUUAAAAAAAAAAAGGAUCCGCUUUAUACUAGGCCUUUUUUUUAACUUUUUUAAGGAUAAAAAUACUACAUUUAUAAAUGAUUAAAUUAUAAUCCAUGCAUUCAUCCACCAAUUUUAUAAAUUUUACUUGUUUUUACUUUUAUUUGACCCUUAUUCAAUGAGUUAAUGUGACAUGUUAUAUUUCUUUCCUUUUUUAUUUCUUUUUGUCAACUUUUUUAAUUUUUAAAUUAAAUGAUUUUGUUAAAAAACCAAUUGAAAAUUUUUUUCUUUUAUUUUUAAAAAUCAAGAUCGAAUUUAAAUAUAUCGAAUUUUUUAUGAAAAAUGAGAUUAGGACGAAACUAUGUUUAGAAUGAUUUGACUUAUCUUAUUUUGAGGUAUAUAUGAAAGUAUAUAUUUAAUUAUUAAUUUAAUUACACAUAUUUUUAAACUUAAUUUAAGAAAUUAAUAUUUUAAACUCAAUAAAGUUGUCCAUGUGACACUUAUUAUGAGUUUCUUUUUUCAUUUUUAAUUUUUUUUCUUUUUUUGUUUUGUCUUUUUUAUUUUUUAAAAUUUUCUAUUAAAUAAAAUUUGUAAGAAUGUAAUGUUGGUUGAGAUAUCCAUGUAUCAUCCACAUUUCUUUUUGUUUUUUUUUUUUUUUGCUUUUCACCUUUUGUUUAUUCUUUUAAUUAGGUCAAUUUUAUAAAAAAUAUCGAUGAAUAAGGAUAACAAAAUAAAAAAAUUUUAUCUAUGACAAUAUACUAAUAUCCCACCUAGUGUAUGUGUGUGUGUAUAUAUAUAUAUAUGAUUCUAAUAAUAAUUUUUUAUUCAAAUUUCCCCUUUCAUCAUUAGCUCCACAUGUACAAUGUCAUCAUCCACACCAACUGUGAGGUAUUAUCUGUUUCGAAUUAUUAAGUUUCAUGAUUUUAUCUUACAAAAAGUGUCUUAUAAGUUAAAGUGGUUUAAAUACUUAUAUCUCAAGACUAACUCAAAUGCAUAAUUAAUGUGAGAUUUAUAGCUCCUCUCUAGGAUAAUGACAUCUUCCUUCGCUCUAAUGAGGCUUUAUCAUCCUCGAUGAUAUAUACUAAUACUCUUAGAAUCAUUUUUUAAUAAAUGUUAUGGUCCACACCAAUUUGUGAGAUAUUAUUUUCUUUGACCUAUUAAAUUUUACAGUUUUAUCUCACAAAAAACAUUUCACAAGUUGAAGGUAUUAUAAACACUUAUAUCCUAAGAUCGGUUCUAAUACACAAUUGAUAUAAGAUUCAUGAUUACUCUCUAGAAUCAUGACAUAUAGCAUAGCAUGUUUAAUAAUUUAACUAUCUUUGAGUUUAAAAAUCCAUCAAAUUAAAUUUCACCAAGUCAAAACCUUUUUAAUUUUUAUUACUUAAUAGAUUAUUAUUAUUAUUAUUAUUAUUAGUUGUAGUAGUAGUAGGAUCAUAUUUGUUUAUAAAACUUGAAUUUAUGUUGUAGAUAACAAAAUUAAUUAUCAAACAGAGUUUUUUUAUGGUGGUUUUUGAUAAUAAGGUUAAUUAAAAUCUUUAUUCUUUAAUAGGAUACUUUCCAUCUUUAUUCCAUAAAUGGAAUAUUAUUACCACAUCUAUGCCAUGUCAUCAUUUACAUGAUCAUAUAACUUGUUAUUAUUGAUAUUAGUACUUAAUCUGUGGUUUCUUGCAGGAUAAUUUUUUUUCAUCACCUCAUUGUUUGGUGUUAUUUUAAAAUUGUUAAAUUCAAAUACAAGUUUUUACUUAAAAAUUUAAAUCUAAUUUUUUAAAUUUUUUUAAAUUUUAAUUUUUUUUAUUAUUUACGUUUUAGGUUAUUUAUUUUGAUUAAAAGAUAAAAUAAUCAUUUUAUAAUAUUAGAAAGUGUGAAUGAUUAUUUCAUAAUAUUAAAUAGGUUUCAAAAUAUAACCCAAUCAAAAUUCUUUUAAUAUAUUUUGAAUUUUUUUAUUAUUUAUAUUUUAAGUCAUUUUAUUUUGAUUAAAGGACAAAAUGAUCAUUUUAUAAUAUUAAACAAGUGUCAAGGUGUUAGAAUAUAAUUACUUUGUAAAAUUCUUUUAAUAUAUAUUUAAAUUUUUAUUAUUUCUAUUGAAGCUUAUUUUAUUUUGGCUAAAAAAUAAAAUAAUUAUUUUAUAAUGUUAAAAAAGGUAAACUAAUCAUUUUAGACAGAUGUUACAACAUAAUCUCUUUAGAGAUUCAUUUACUAAAGAGGUAGAUUUUAUCCCUAAUCCAACUAAUAUAUCAAAAAUAUUAAUAUUAGUCAUUUAUUUUUAAAUAGUUACAUUUUAGUUAAAUAUUUUGUCUUUUAUAUUUCUUUCACAUGUCUAUACAUACAAUUAAAACUAUCCUUUUUUUUUUAAAUUUAAAACCAAAUUACCUUUGGUAUUAAAAAUAAUUUAAGGAUUAUUAAUAAAAUUUCAAACUCAUAACGUUAAAAACUAUAUAUAUAUAAAAAAAAAAACUCAAAAUUAUUAGGACCCACCACACCAAUUUUCAUAACAAAAUUUAAAUAGUUGAUUGUCCACGUUUAGCUCAAAAACUUAUUUUAAAACCACAUAUAAUUCUCUAUAUUACUUAUUAAUAACAUAUUCAUUUCUUUUUAUAUUAAUAAUUUUAAAUGAAAAAAGAAUUCGCAGUGGAAUGCGAGCUUCACUCUAAUAUAUAUAUAUAUAUAUAUAUAUAUAUAUAUUUGAAAUGAUUAAAUGAUAAAAUUGAUACAUAAUUCAUGAUUAGACACUUAAAUUCAUUUAAUUUUUUAAAUUAGAUUGUUUAUGUAUAUAGCUUAAAGUAGCUAAUUUUUUAUUAUCUAAGUUAAUUAAAUAUAAUUUUUCAGAAUGACUUUGAAGUUACGGUUAACUUUUGCACACUAAUUAUUGAUUCUUUUGUUAUUUCCAAAAAGGUGUAUGUAAAUUAUAAAAAAUUUUAAUGAUUCAAUUUUUUUCAAUAAAAUUGAUAAGUCAUUUAAAAAAACUUACAUAAAAGAUUUUCAAUGAAAAAUGUUUUGAAAAUUUUAAGUAGUUAUAAGUUAAUGAAUGAUUUUAAUUAUUCUUAUUUGAGAAAGGAAUAAUUUAUCAUUUAAUUACAUUUAUUUUAUAUUAUUUUUAUUUUAAUAUUUAAUUUUCUUUUCUAAAUUUUAUUAAGAUGAAUAUUUAAUAAUAAAUCAACAAUGCAUCUAUUUAUUUUUUAAUUUUUAAUAAAAUAUCAAAUGAUUUUUAUAGUAAGAAUUUAGUAUUUAGUUUUUUAAAAUUUAAAAUUCAACACUUAAUUUUUUUAGUUUUACAUUUUUAAUUUAUCAAAAAAUUACUAGAUAUAAUUUAAAAAUAAUAAUAAAAGUAUAUUAGACAAAACUAAAAGUUAAAAAUAAUCUUUGUAAUCUUAUAUUUUUUGUAGCUUUGUCAAUGAUAAUGGAUAUUUUUAAUUUUUAAAUCAUAAAUCAUUAUUUAUUGUAUUUACAUAAUUUAUAAUUUUAUAAUAUUUAAUCAUCUUUCUUUUAAUUACUUGUGUUAUUCUCAAAUAUUAUUCCCAAGCCACUAUUCCUUAAAAACAAUAUAUUUUUUUUAAUGCUCAACACUUAUCACCUUAAACCAUUUUUUAAUUAUAAAAAUACACAUAGCUAACAAUGAUUUAUAUCCACAACAAAUUUAUGUGCAUAGUACAAAAGUUGCUUCUUACAAACUUCAUUUUAAUCGUCAACUAGUACUUUCCCGUUUGAGUUCGAACUAUUCUCUUGCCAACUAAGCAAUUUCUAAGAUCAAAUGACAUCUCAUCCUAAGCAUUUUUUUAAUAAAAGUUCAAGUGAGGUACAAUAUCUCAUUUUAAAAUUUAAAUUCGAAAAGAAUUCUAAUUAAUUAUCGACUAACACCCAAUAAUAACCUCAUGUAUAUACAUAAUCUUAUAUAUAUUAUAUUUUUUUAUAUUGAUAAGUGAAAGUAAUUAAAGAAGCAAAGAAAACAUUGAAGGUAUUCUGUUUUUAAAAGAGAAGCCAUAUAUCUAUAUCUUUUAAUCACUUAUUAGGAAUUAUUACUAUCAACCCUAAUUUUGUUUGUUUAGAUGUCUUGCCUGAUUUGCACUGUUACGAAAUUGAAUAUUAUUAUGAUCACCAUCAAUUUAUUUUUUUAUAUGUAUAACUGCUUGAUUUGUACUGUUAGGAUUAUUUAUUUAUAGCUUUUUUAUUAAAUAGAAAGCAUAACUCCUAUUAGAAUCCUAACAAUAAAUUAGUAUUUAUUAUUAAUCUUAAUAACCAACAAUUGAAGAUUAUGCAUCUUAAUUGAUUACCAUUAAUCCUAUUUCAUGAAAAUUUCCUUUCUUCAUUAUUGUGGAUAGCUUUCACAACCUAUGUAAUCCUCUCUAAUUUUUUCCCUAUAUCUUUUGAUUUACCAACAAAAUAAAGAAUCAGUAAAAAGAAAAAAAAAAAACUUAACAAUUAAAAAUCAAGCCAAGUAUUCUAAUAGCCUUGUUGCUUAACUUAAGCUCUCGAAGGCUUAAGGUAAACGGAGUUGGGCUAUUUCUUCAAGUUGGGACAUCUUGUGUGGCAGUUGGUUCUCUGGUUGUAGGUAUAAUAUUUGACAUGAAGUAUAAUUUAGGAGUUUAGGUGAAUUGGAGAGCAAAGAUGAACAAAUUAGACAACUUUAUAAGGCUCAAGUAAUAAUGCUUCCAAAGUGCAUGAUGUGUUUUGAUGAUUGUUGAAUUCUCUCAACCUUGUUGCUUAAGUUUUUAAGCUAGUUGUUGAAAUUUCACUUUGCCUUAUGUCAAUUGAGAAUAGAAGAAAAACAAAAGCCACAUCCUUCUUUAUUCAAUCAUGAUGCGAAUUCUCUAUUUUCAUGGUUGUUCCGAAUCCUCAAAUACAAUAUUGACUGAGGCUAAUUUUUUCACCCCACACAUAAUUACACUUGCCAGUUGGACCUUCAACUAAAAGUAUUAGGUGUUGAAAUCCACUUUUCAAAGUACGUCUUACUACUAAUCAAGAUGAGGCACUUCUAUUUCUUUUCAAUUGUUUGACAAAAGAGAUUAUUAAACUUUCUGAGUUGCCUCCCCUGGAAUGGGUGCAUUCAAUGUUCUUUACUUCUCCACCUUCCCCAAAUUAUUUUGUUCUAGAAAUCAAAUGAUGGUUUUAUUCGGUCUCCAUUUUUAUCCAUAAAGUAGGAGAAAGUAAUUAAGAAAUGCAUAAUUUUUCAUGUGACGUAAAGUUUUGGUUAUCUGUUUUCAAUCCAAUUUUGUAUAAAGGAUUAUGCUAUUGUUUGGAUGUCAAGGGAAACUUGGGAGUAUUUGAUAUAAAAAACUUACAAAAUAGUUGGGAUACCUAUAAAAUGAUCACUUUUCCAUCAUGUUGUAUCAAUUCAAUUGUUUAAGCAUCUCUAAUGGAAAACGAAUAAGAAUUGUUAGUUGUUUUCAUUACAAAGGAUGAUCAAAAUAUUCAUGUUUUAAAAUUGAAUCUGACAAGUAAGAUAUGGAAACCAGUACAAAGUUUGGGAAAGAACAUGUUGUUCAUUAGUAAAGGUACAUCUUUUUUCAAAACGACACUCGUGAUAGGAAAUGAACCAGUAAUAACAUUUAUGGUCUAAACUUUUAAGACAAAAAUGACUCAUUUUGCUUAUACUCACUCACAACCGGAAAGUAUCAUUCUUUCUUUGAUAAUCUUUCAGGUCAAGAUUCACAUUAUAUGAAAUACCUUCAACAAAGCUCUUGGUUUAUAUCAAUGUAAGAUUAUUUCACCUCCAUGUUUAGUAGAGUCGUUUUAAUCUUUAUAAUUUAUUAUCAAACUUAAUUUAAUUAUUGUUUUGGCUAUUUAAUACUGCAUUUUGAUUAAUUGUUAAAUUAAUAUGCUUCUUCAUAUUUUGAGUGCUAAACAAUAAGCAUGACAUGAAGAUGAUGAAUAAGAUUUAAUGUCAAUAUACCUGAAAAUGGAUGCCUAAUGAAAUUUAGACCCAACCUUGUAUAAUUCUCUGUUAGAGUUGUCAAAACUGAUCUAAACCUAAAAAUCUCACUUUAUUCGUUCGAUUUGACAAAAACAAAAAUCAACAAUUCAAAUCUGAAAAUGAACUAAAUUUAAAAUUAUCCAAAAAUAAUUUGAAUCUAAAUUAACGUAAAUAACUAAAACUAAUAAUACAUUUAUUUAUUAGUAAUUUUGAUGAAAAAAAUCAACAAUUUCCAUUUAUAUGAAGUAGUGCCAUCAGAUGAUAAAUUCUGUUAAACAUUACUGAGGAAAACACUAAAUCAAGUUAAGAGAACUAACAAAAUAUCUCUUCAUUUCUUGGAAGACCAAAUUUAUAAUGAGUCAUCUGCCAUAAACCCUUGGAUAAAGCACAUGAGAAAAAAAGAUGAUUCCUUCACUCCAUAUCAACAUUACAUAAUAAAUAGGUCCUAUUAGUUACAAAGAUCCCCCUAGUUUUGUAGUCCAUCAAUGGUUGGGAAUCUAUUUAAAAUAGCCACCAAAGUGAUGAUGCCUAUAAACAUGAGAAGGGAACCAAAUAAGACUUUACCAGUUGACUUUGGCUUGUAUGUUCCUCAAGAUUAGACAUGCUAGUGUAAUGUGAAAUUCAGUGAGCUUUGGCCUAAAACAAUCAUUGCUGUAAAAGCUUUCUCUAACUCUAACUAUUGUUUUGGGAAGAUUUCAUAUUCUAGAGUAUUUUCACCUUAAACACAAAAGUAGAAAUCCAUUCAACAUAUAAGGAACUAAAUUUUGUAAGGAGAAUACAAAUAUUAUUUAGGAUACAUGCUUGAUUCUACUCUCUAAGAUUUUUCAAGCCAAGACCACAUUUAUACUAUGAGUGACAAAUGAAAUCCCAACUAAUCCGAGGCACUUUUAAAAAAAAGCAGAACAAAUUUGAGACCCUUUUUUUUAUCACUUAUUGGGGAAGAAUGAAUUCACUACACUACAAGUUUUCCAUACCAAAAAGAAUUGAUUGGAAAAGUUGAAGCCUCCUGGCAUAAGAUAGGUGCUUGGAGGUCCAAUUGUUUAUACUCGAUGAUUUUCUCAAUUAGAAAAGAAUAAUCUUUAUCACUGAGUGUCUUUAUGAUGAGGGGGACUCCUAAAUUUCUCAUAGGCAAGGUGCCAAGUUUGAUAUCAGUUUUGCUUUGUAUCUGUACAUAAACACCUAUCAAAAAUCUAGUUUUAAUUUUAGUAUUAAUCUUUAACUAAAAUAAGUCAUUCCAAUAUAUAGUUGAAACAACUUUUUCUAAUUCAAAAACUUCAAUUUGGUAAUUUUGUUAUGAGUAGUUUUACUAUUAGAAAAUUGGCAACAUAGUUUAGAAUAAGUAAAAGCUAGAUCCAAAAACUAAGAACAGAUAUUCAUAUAUAUUUUUGCUUCUGGAUUAGUCAUAAAUUAAAUAUUGGUAUCAAAUAUGGAAAAAGGAUUAAGGAAUGUAAAUUGUUAUGGUAAUAAUAAGAGACAAAUAGCAAAAAGUAAAAGAAUAUACCAAUCUAUCAUAUAAUGUGAGAAUACCAGCAAAAGAAUAUGAUGAAAGACUUGAUGAUAUCCAUAACAUAUUAGCAAAUCCAUCCACCUUAAAGAAUAACUUUUUGGUAAUAUUUAAACAAGGGAGUCUUAAGCUGAUUGAUUUUAUAAGUAAAAGUAUAAAUGUUUGUAAUUUGCAGUGCCAUACAUGAUGCACCUGCAAUUCAACCCUGAGAAUUGAAGUUACAAUAUAAAAUGCAACAGUUGAAAUAAAACAUUUGUAAGAAGUGGAAUAACCUUUUGGGUUCAAGAAAAAGUGGCAGUCUCAUACUUCAAUAAAAUAAUUCAACAUACAACGAUCAGAAGGCAUCUCCACCAUCACUCUAUAAAGAAAUUGUGCCAUGAUGAAACGAAAUAAAGUAGACAACUGAAGAAUUACAAAAGUAGAAUAGGUACUUACAUUGCAUUGGAUUUGAAGGAAAGUGAGACUGUUUCACAAGCACCAAAACAUAUUACCUUAUUUCAGCUUUAUUGAUUGAAGGGUAACUUCAGUCACUUCAAAAUUAUAGACAUUCUGUGAUCAUAAGAAACAAUAACAUGGAAUGGUAAAACCAAAAAUUGAUCAAUUGGCUAUGUUUGGAAAGGCAUCAGAUAAUAUUGUACAAUCAUUUAAAAUAUUAAAAAUAAAACGUUAAAAGCUUUAUGUUUAUAACUUCAGAUUAUACUCGUUUUUGACCAUUUCAUUUUAAUGAAUUGCAUUGGUUAAAGGAAUACCAUAAGCAAAUCCUUUAAAUUGAUGCAUACCAUUUCGUCGAAUAGUUGUUUUAUAGUAAUUUUAUGGUUAACUUCCCACCACACUUUUACUUUAUUUUCAUCUCUUAUCAAUUGCACUAGUUGCAUCUUUGGUGUGCUUAAAUCCCUAUAAUAGAAAUUCUUCAAUUUUGGGCACUCUUUCAUAAUCAUCUUUCCUAAGGUCGAGAAUUCCAAGAUGUGAUCCCCUAAGCAAAAGCCUACUAGACGUGGUAAACAACUUAGUCACAAAUACUUCAGUUUGAUGAAAACAAUGUCACUUUUUUUCUUCACCCUCACAUGCUAUGAUUUCCUCUAUCAUCUCGUGGUCAGUUAUACUCAUUCUUUCUAGUAGCAUCAGGCUCUUAGCUGUUGAGCAUGCUAUUAAAUUCAUGAAUCUAUGACAUCUUGAAACUUUUUAAAGUUGUUAAAAUUUCAAAAGACACCGAUGAUGGCACUAAAGUCUUUAAUUUUUCACAUUCUAGCACUUUAAGAAUUCUUAUGUUACAUAAAGUUGCUCUAUGAUUGAAUUUUUUUUUCAGAGAUAAGUCAACUCUGGAAGUUUAGACAACCUUAAUUACUUUAUCUAAGUGAGUAGUGAUGUAUGUCUUUCGUCAUCAUUAAUCCUUUCAAAUUGGAAUAUUUGACAAAAGAAAGCUUCAUUUAUGACAUUUUUCAAAAUUUGGUAAUGACUGAAUGAACCAAUAUGGAAGAGCAGUUGAUGUCUCAGGAAAACAUUCGAGGUUAAGAACUUUAGUUUUCUAGAACACUCCAAUGAAAGUUGUCUAUGUCAUAUCCCUUUUACCAUAUCAUUCUGUUACUAUUAGGAAAAUAGAGUCCAGCCCAUGUAACUAGUUUUGGACCAAUCAAAGGUUAUAGGCCUUGAUCUUUUUUUUUUACACAAAGCUCUAGCUACUUAAUAAAAAGAGGUGAAAUUAUUUUAAGGUGGUGUCACAAACUAAGAAAAGAAAAAAGUAGAGCCAAAAAAAUAAAGAGAAAAGGGAGAAAGGAAAGUUAGUUGAACGAAAGUCAAUUCGUGGUCUGAUUAAGCUAAAAUUUUAUCAACAAGUUUAUGAUUAAGAGUUUUACAUUUUGAAAGGUGAAGAUUGAGUUUGAAGCUCUCUAGGAACAAAUCCAGUAUGUAUUUGUUGAGUCACUUAUUUAGUGAGAUUUUUCUAAUUGUCUCUCUCUAGUUGUUGAUUAGAUUUAGUUUUAGCUAGAGAAAAACUUUAUAUAUUCAUUAUUUGAUAGUGAAGUUUUUUCUGGUGGUCUGUGAUUUUUUUCUCUACCCUAGAGAGUUUUUCAUGUAAAUCUUGAUGUGCUUUAUUUUUCCUAUGUUUUUUAUUAUUGAUUAUUGUCUAUAGCUGUGGGUUUAUUGCGAUAUAUUACUUUUGCGAUGUUGUGUUUACUACUUCAAGCCCAACAAAUGGUAUCCAAACGAGGGUUAUUUUAAAAUAUCAAUAUAGAAGUAGCCCAAGACAGAAGUAAAUUCUGUUUGAGAUCAUAAAAGAUGAUAUAGAUUCCAUGAUAAAAUUGACAGUAUCAAAUUAUUCAAUUUGAAAGCUUAUGAUUGAAGAUCAUUUAUACUAUAAAGAUUUGUAUGAGCUGAUAUUUGGUGAUUCAGCUAAAUCAAUAGAUAUGAAAGAUGAAAGCUAAAAGAAGUUAGGUAGAAAGAUGUUGGCUAUAAUAAAAAAAUGGUUGAUAUCAGCGUAUUCCAUCAUGUAGCACAAGAGAUAGAUGCCUACACUAUUUCAAAAAAAUUAAUAGAUUAUAUGAGAAAAAAACAUGUAUGAAUAAGGUUAUGCUUGUUAAAAAGCUUGUAACUUUAUAGUAUAGGGAUGAAUACCGAUUACAAAGUAUUUGAGUGAUUUUCAAGAUAUAUUUAAUCGGAUGACUACUAUAGAGCUUAAGAUUGAUGAUGAAAUAAAGGCAUUAUUUCUUUUGGGUUCAUUACUAAACAGUUGAAAUACUUUAGUUGUGACUAUUCUUAAUUCAGCUCCUAAUUACAAGGUGACAUUGGAGAUGGUAAAUGAUAGUAUGCUUAAUAAAAAGAGCAAGGUGAAAAGAUGUAAACCUUGAAAAUCAAGCUCUGGUCACAAAGAACAUGAGUAAAAACAUCGAUAGAGAUCAAAACUCAAAAUAUCAUAGUAAGUUUAAACAUAGAUCUAAGUCCAAAGAUAAAGUGAAGUGUUUUCAUUGUGGUAAAGCAGGUCAUAUAAAGCGAAACUGUAAAAUCUUAAAACAAGAGCAAAAAAAUGAAAAAGAUAAGAGUUCAGAUGAUGGUAAUGUUACAACAGUGAAUUCAGAUAGUGAUUCAAUUACUUUGAUUUAUACACAUAGUGAUUGUAAUCAUGUUAGUGAUACCUGGUAUUAAGUGGAUAGUUGACACGGGAAUGGCAUAUCAUUUUGUUUCUAAGAGAGAGUUGUUUACAACUUAUAAAGCAAAAGACUUUAGUUACAGCAAAAGGAGAAACAAGAGUGUGUCAUAGAUAUUGAGAUUGGUGAUAUUAUUGUACAAACUAGUACAUAUUACAUGUUAACUUUGAGGGAUGUCAGACACAUUUUGAAUAUGAGAAUGAACUUGCUUGCUAUUAAUGUCUUUGAUAAGAAAAUAUAUGAGAGUCAACAAAAGAAUAGGUAGUGAAAGCUUUUCAAAGAAUCUAUGGUAGUUGCAAAGAAAAAACUAUGCUACACAAUGUAUAAGACAUAGAUGUAAUUGAACGGUAACUAGAUAAAUGCCAUUAAGAAUGAUGCUUUAGCAAACUUAUGGCACAAGAAGCUGGCACACAUGAAUGAGAAGAGGUUGUAGGUUUUGGUAAGACAGUCUCUCAUUUCCUUGAGUAAAGGUAUGUCUUUCGAUUCAUGUGAUCAUUGUUUGUUUGGUAAGUAUCAUAGAAUUUUUUUCAUAAGAAUUCUCAGAGAAAAAAAUAAAUUGAAAUUGAUUUAUUUUUACAUAUGUGGUCUCAUUGAGGUUGAGCCAUUAAGUGAUAUCAGGUUUUUUGUUACUUUUAUUGAUGAUGCUUCACAUAAGACUUAGGUGUAUAUGUUGAAAAAUAAAAGUCAAGUAUUACAGUAUCUUUAAAAAUUUCAUGCCAUAAUGAAAAGGAUGACAGGGUUACCCUUAAAGUGUAUUCGAAUUGAUAAUGAUGAGGAAUACACAUCCAAAGACUUUGAAUAGUACUAUUCAAAGCAUGAGAUCAAGUAUAAGAUGACAAAACCUGGAAUAUUGCAACAUAAUAGUGUAGCUGAAAGGAUGAACUACACCAUUAUAAACAAAGUCAAAUGUAUGUUGAGGAUAACAAAAUUACCAAAGUCGUUUUAGGGUGAAACAGUCAACAUAGCUUGUUAUUUGCUUAACAGAUCACCAUCAAUUUCUUUGGGCAUUGACAUAACAAAAAGAGUGUGGAUAGAAAAAGAUGCUUGAUACUCUCAUUUGAAAGUUUUUGGGUGUAAAGCAUUCAUACAUGUGCCAAAAGAGUAAAGGUUAAAGCUUGAAAGUAAAGUCACAUAAUGUGUGUUUGUAAAAUAUGGUGAUAAGGAAUUUGACUACAGAAUAUGAGAUCCAGUGAAGAAAAAGAUAGUUAGAAGCAGAGAUGUGGUUUUUCAUAAAAAAAAAAAACCAUAAUAGACCUUGAGAAAAAUGAGAAGACUAUACGAGUCACUGUUGAGUGUGAUGUUUCAACACCAAUAAGGGUUUCAUAGGAAAAAGCCACAUAUAGUGAAAAUAAGCAAGAAACAAAACUUAAAAAUAUGAAUGAGCCAGUCAUAAUUAGUGAUGAGUCAGAUGCAAUCAAUUUUGAGUAAGGAGAGCAAUAUUUUCUAUCUGAGAGUGUUGAGUAGGAAGAGCUACCUUUGAUAUUAAGUGAAGUUUUAGCCUAGAAGAUCUACUAGAGAGCAUAGGCCAUCUACUAGGUAUCCAAAUUCAGAUUUUAUUUUAAUUACUAGUGAGAGAGAGCCAGAGAGCUUUCAAGAUAUGUAGGCUACUUCAGAUAAAAUGCACUGGUUAAAAGCAAUAAAAGAAAAAUUAGAGUCAUUGUGAAAAAAUGGUACUUAUGAUCUUGUUAAACUUUCAAAAAGGAAAGUCAUUGAAAAAUAAAUAGGUAUUCAAGUUAAAAAAGGAUAGUGACAAGCUAGUGAUGUAUAAAGCUUGAUUAGUGGUGAAAGGUUUUUCUCAUAAAUUAAGUAUCGAUUUUGAUGAGAUUUUUUCUCUAGUUUUGAAGAUAAGUUUCAUUUGAGUGGUAUUGGGAUUAACAGCUAGUAUGAAUCUUGAGCUUGAACAAUUUGAUGUCAAGACUACAUUCUUACAUGGUGACUUACAGGAUGACAUUUAUAUGAAUCAACUUGAGGGUUUUGAAGUUAAAAAAAAAAAGCACUUAGUUUUCAAGUUGAAAAAAAGCUUAUAUAGCUUGAAACAAGCUCUGAGACAGUGGUACAAAAAGUUUGAUUCUUUUAUGGUGAACAAUAGCUGUAAAAAAAUAGUAGCGGAUCCUUAGGUAUAUGUCAAAAAAAAUUUUGAUAAUAACUUCAUUAUUCUCUUAUUAUAUGUUGAUGAUAUAUUGAUUAUGAGAUAAGAUGCUGGUAUGGUUUGUAGGUUGAAAAAAUAAUUGUCUAAGUCUUUUGACAUGAAGGAUUUAGGUAUAACAAAGUAAAUUUUUGAUAUGGACAUUAUCCGGGAUAAAAAACUGAAAAGCUGUGAUUAUCAUAAAAAAAAUAUGUUGAACCGGUACUUAGUAGAUUUAACAUGCAACAUGCUAAAUCAGCUAGUAGUCCACUUGCCAACCAUUUUCAUUUGAGUAUCAAAUCUUGUUCGAUGUCUAAGGAAAAGCAACUAGCUAUGUCUAUUAUUUCUUAUUCUUCUACAAUCGAUUUUGUAAUGUAUCUUAUGUUUUGUAUACGACUGACAUUGCUCAUACAGGUGGUGUAAUAAUAAAUUUCUUUCUAAUUUAAAAAAGGUUCACUGAGAAGUAGUGAAAUGAAUUUUCAAAUAUUUAAAAGGUACCUAAAAAAUGUGCUUGAGUUAUAGAGUUUCACAACUAAUUCUAGAAGAGUUUACUGAUGCUGACAUGACAAGUGAUCUUGAUGGUAGAAAAUCUACUUUUGGGUGUUUCUUCACUUUUACAGGAUGAGCUAUGUCUUAACAAUCUAAGUUGCAGAAGUGUGUUACUUUGUCAACUACAGAGGCUGAGUAUAUUGCAACAACUGAAGCAAGUAAAGAAAUACUUUAAAUGAAAUAUUUUCUUCUUGAAUUGGGGUUGAAUCAAAAAGAGUAUGUGAUAUUUUGUGGUAGCCAGAGUGCUUUAGAUUUGAGUAAGAAUGUCAUGUACCAUGUUAGAAUAAAACACAUUGAUGUUAGAUAUCACUGGUUGAAUUCACUGACUGAGAAACAACGAAUGCUAUUAAAAAAAGUCCAUAUUCAUAAGAAUAUAAUAAAUAUGUUAACUAAGAUACUUUUUAAGAAAAAGCUUGAGCUCUGUAGUAAUUUAACCGGAAUGAGUUCCUUGGCCAAGGUAAGUUUCAAAUGAAACUAUUAUGGUGGUGAAUUUUCUCCUAAUGGGGUUGGAAGGAAAGAUUGUUAAGAAAAUAGGGUAUAGCUAACUAGUUUUGGACCAAUCAAAAGUCAUGAGCCUUAGUCUUUCUUUUUACACAGAUCCCUAGCUACUAAAUAAAAAGAGGUGUAGCUAUUUUAAAGUGGUGUCGAAAACUAAGAAAAGAAAGAAGAAAAGCCAAAAAAAUAAUGAGAAAAAAGAGAAGGUGGAGUUGUUGAACAAAAGUCAAUACGUGGUUUGAUUGAGUUAAAUUUUAUCAAUAUAUUUAUGAUUCAGAGUUUUAUAUUUUCAACAGUGAAGAUUGAGUUUGAAACUCUCAAGAAAUAAAUCUAGUGUGUAUUUGUUGAGUCACCUAUUUGAUAAGAUUUCUCCAAUUGUCUCUCUUUAGUUGUUGAUUAGCUCUAGUUUUAGCUAGAGAAAAAUUUUGUAUAUCCAUUAUUUGAUAGUAGAAUUUUUUCUAGUAGUCUAUGAUUUUUCCUCUACAUUGAAAGAUUUUCCAUGUAAAUCUUGAUGUACUUUAUUUUUUUUACAGUUUUAAUUGUUGAUUGUUGUCCAUUAUUGUGGGUUUAUUGCGAUAUAUUGCUUUUGCGUUGUUGUGUUUCUUACUUUAGGCCCAACAUCUACCAGGUCAAUUCUUUUAAGAUAAGGAAAGUAUCCCGGAUAUUAACAAAUGUAUUAAACAAACAAUAUAGUUUAAAUUGAUAAAAGAUGUUAAAAGUAUUAAAAAAAAAGAAACACUAAGCAAGCUUGAUGAAAGUAACAAAUGAAAAAAAAAGCCACAACAAAUUAAAAGGAGAAUUUGUGAAAAAAAUAAUGGUAAAGCAAAAAUAAAAGAAAAAUCACCUUUUCAUUGAAAAAAGUGGAAUUAUCAACCUUCAAGUUACUUUUUUCUAUAUUUUGAUGAAUUUAAGGUUUAUCUCCAAUUAUAGAUUUAGAGAUGAAUGUUUUCAAUAAAGAACAAUUUGUUAGUGUUAAAAUUUUCAAGCCUGGGAAUUUAAAGUAAGGUUCAAAGCAAAUUUUGUAAGUUUGGGAAAGUCUUUGAGCCACAGGAAAUCUAGUUUAACAAAUAACAUAUGGCUCAUCUUUUCUUUUUCUAUUAAUUCUUUAAUGAAGAUUACUUAUUCCAUGAACUCAUAGUGCCAAAUAAGAAGGCUUUGGAGUUGCACAAAAUAUUUUGCCUUGAAAGAUGAGAACAAAUAUUUCAAAUUGUGACAGUUCUUCACCUUUCAGAAUUUUAAUUCCUUAACGAGGAUUGGAGUAAUUGCUCAUGCCAUAUUCUUUGAAUGUUAAUUGAGGACAAAUUUAAAAUCUUCAAUUUUUUUUAGUUUAAAAUCUUGAUAUUGAUACCUGUUUUAGCUAAUUUUUCUAUAAACUACUUUCACUUGGCCCUUUUAAUAAUUUUAAUAUCAUGAAAAAAACAAGAUUACAUAAUUGGCUAGAUUAUGAGUUAAGGAAUUAGCAACUUUCUCACAUGCAGGAAGACAUAGCUAUCACACCUUAAAGUUUGGUUCCAAAUAUCUUGAAUGAUGCCACCCAUCUCAUAUUGAUUCCUCAACUUUUAAUAUCUAAGAAAUAGCUAACUGUCGUAACGGUUUUGGGACCGUCAGACGUAAAAAUGAGAUUUUAAAAUCGAGGAAAAUAAAUAAAAAAGGGGAGUCGCCACCAAUCUUUGUUAGGGUGUGAUUGGCCACCCAAAAGUUUAUCUUUUUAAUAAAACUAUAAAAACGAGUUUAAAGUUUAUCAAAAAGAUAAAUUUCAGUCUGCGAAAAAUCAGGUUGAGUCCGGGAGUCGGUUACGUGUGGGGAAGAUUAGCACCCCCACAACGCCCAUAAAUUGGUACCAUUUAAUUAUGCAUUAUUUUCGACGUUGGAUAAAAAUGGUUUUAAUUUGAAAUUUAACAUUAAUUCCCUUCAUUAAAAAAAAUAAAAUUUUGCUAAAAUAUUUAUUUAUAACUAUUGAAAAAAUCUUUAAGUUAAAGAAUUAUCUUAAAAUUCUCCAUCAUCUAGGCAGAAUUUAAAAUAACUCUUUUCGCCUAAGAUUUAACACAAUAAUCCUUAAAAUGAAAUAACAAUCUUUAUAGAAAAUAAUUGUUAGUGACUCUCCAACAUCUAGGCAGAGUACCAAGAAUUAUUUCUUUCGAAAUGUUAUUCUUAUUUUAUUUUAUAACAUCACAAAAAAAUUUAGUAUUAUUCUUUUUUAUUGUAUUUUUUUUUGUUUUGUAUUAUUAUUAUUAUUUUUUUAUUUUUUUGGUAUUUAUUUUUUUGUAUUUCGUAUAAUAUUAUUAUUUUUAUUUUUGGGGACAAAAUUGAUGUCAACACUAACAGUGUAUCACUUUCUACCACAAUAGAAUUGAAACCACAACACUUUAAAACAGAAUGCUUGCAUCUCAUCUCAACAUGUAAUAAGCUAUCUGCAAAGGAGGUCAUAGUGACAACUAAUAACAUAACUUAGCCAUUUGCAUCCCUAACCAUCAUUCCAACUAGGAAUGGCAACAGGUCACGUUAGGUGAGUUUUUCUCACCCCAACCUCGAUUUGAUUUUAUAAAAUUAAAAUUUGGCUCUGGCCUAAUAUCAAAACAUUAUUUUUCAUUCCCAAUUCAUAUGUGUAUAAAAUCGCAUUCGACUCGAUCAAAAAUUAAUUUAAUAAUUGUAAUUUAUUAUAACAUUUAAUAUAAAUUGCAUUUUAAUUAUCGAUAAAUAUAUUAUCUUUUAUUAAGUUAAUAUCUCAAAUUAAAGUAUUAAAUAAUAAUUUGCCAUUUCAAGAUGACUAGAGGAUAUCUCGGUGGAAGAGGUGGUGAGUAGUAUAUUUAUUGAUGGUGAAUUUUGAGAGUUCGAUUAAAGACAAAAAGAUCAAUGUGCAUUCUUGAAGCACUCUAACGACAAUUGCAAGCUAUUAUCAUCCAAGAGUAAGAGCUAUUGUAAGCUAGUAAUUCUUAUUCUGCCUUCAUAAUAACACACACUAGCACUAAAAGUGAUCCCAAGUAGAAAGUCAUUUAAAAAAGAAAUAUGCCAAGCUCAUUUCCCAUUUUAGUUUCAUUGAUACCUCAAAAUCAGAGAAAUUUGGAAAAGUGUGUUACUUCUAUUAUAAACUUAGACAUAAGAGGACAAAUUGCAAAAGUUUUUUAGAUUUAAAGGUAUCAAGGCAUUUUGUUAACCUUUUUCUUAAAUUCAUUCGAGGUAACGUGCCCACUUUUCAUGGUUGGAUAUAGUGCCAAAAUUAGUAGAGCCAAUUCCUUAUAGUAAUUGAUAAGUAAUCGAAGACCAAAUUGUAGGAAAUAGUUAUGAGCAUGAGCAAUAGGGUUAAAGUCUAGGUUGAAAACAUAAGAAUUGCAAUAUUGUUGUUACAUUUUUGCCAGUUUCAAAACUAUUAGCUAGUUUACACUUUUCAUUUUGAUUAUGGAAAAGUUUUUUUUUUUUUUUUGUUUUGUAACAACAUGUAUAUUGAUUUUGGCAUUAUAUGCUAUAGAUUAUGUAUAAUAAACUAAUAUCCCAAUGUUGAACAACUUUUUACUUUAGUUGUGUGAAAAGUAAACGAUAUGGUUAAUGGUUCUAAUUAUGAUAAAAUAGAUAAAAAAUCUUCCAUAUUAUGGCAUAUGCAUUAGGGACAUUAUGAAUUUAAUAUAUGUAUAGAUUGCAUUAAGAGAAAACUCAUUGCUAAUAUUAAGUGUAAGCUUAGCAGAUGCAAAGAUGUUGGGAACUAAUUUAUAUUAACAUUUGUGGACUAUUUUCAGUUAUUGCAUACAGUGGAUAUAAACAUUUUAUCAUCUUUAUUGAAAUCUUUUUUGUUUUUGGUUAUCUGGAGUGAGAAGUUUGAUUUUUUAUAAAUCUUAAAGGUUUUAAAAAUCUAUUAUUGGAUUUUUAAAUGUAAACCAAUUAAUGUAGUCAAAUCAGAUAAGGGUGAAAAAUAUUGUGUUUUAUUUGAUGAAACUAGGUUGAAUCCUAUAUUGUUUUGCUAUAUUGGAUUAUAAAGUUGAUGCCUAUUAUACUAUGCUUGAAAUACUAUAAGAGAAUGAGGCAACCGAACAUUUUUUAAUAUAGCACAAUGUAUGCUAAAUAACUCCAUAUUAUCAGAAUUCAUGUAAAGCGAAGCUUUCAAGACUGCAACAUACAUUCUAAAUCAAGCUCCAAGCAAAACCAAUUCUAAAAAAUCGUUAUAAAUUGUUGUCAACCAUGAAAUCGAGUUUGAACCAUUUUUCAUAUUUGAGGUUGUAAAGCAAAGGUAAGAGCUAUAACUCGCAAUCAAUGAAACUUGAUAAGAAACUUUCAGCAACUAUUCUGUAUUGGCUUAAGAGAAUCUAAAUUUUUGUUGUCCAUCAUAUAUUAUUAGAAUCAUCAAGUUUGAUUGUGUAAUCUUUUAGAGGAUGACUUAGUGAGAGUUUUGAGCUCCAUAAAGUUAUUCUCAAGAAAGAAUGUGUUAUUGUGAUAGUCCCUUAUAUGACUUAUCUGUUGGUGAAAAAUACCAUAAGCGAAUACACCAACAGCUAAUCCCAACAAUCUCAUUUCGAAGCCUAAGAACAUGAAUAUAGUACUUAUGUGUCUUCUGAUUUUAUUACUUUUUAAAAGAUUGUUAGUGAUUUUAACUCUCAAAGUUAGAUAAUUAUCACACGGUAUUAAAUAGUAUCUUUAUUUUAAAAUGAUGCUUGAGAUCUACUUAAAUUACCACAUUAUCAUAGACAAUUGGUUGUAAAUGGAUUUUCAAGGCUAAAAAGGACUCCAUAGGUCAAGUCAAAAGGUUUAAAGCCAAAUUUAUGGCUAAUGGCUCUAAGCAAAGAAAAUGAAUUGAUUAUAAAGAAACAUUCUUUCUUAUUUCUAUCAAUAAUUCUUUUAAAAUUUUUAUGGCAUUGGUAGGUCAUUUUGAUUUAGAGAUACAAACAUCUAGACGAAAUAUCUUGAAGGCUUUGUAGUUAUCAUAAUGAAAUAUAUGGUUCAUAAACUCAAAAAGUCCAUUUAUGGACAUAAAUGUCAUUUAGUCUCUGAUAUUUGAAGUUUAAUAAGAUUAUCAGUCUAAGUAUAACAUUGUUAAUCAGUGCAUAUAUUUUAAGAUUAGUGGGAGCAACUACGUAUUUCAAGUGCUCUAUGUUGAUGACAUCUAGCUAGUAGUCAAUGAUACUUACUUAUUAUAUAAGAUAAAGUACAUGUUAUCAUGUUGCUUCGAGAUAAAGAAUUUAAAUGAAGCUUCAUUUUGUUUUAAGUAUUGAGACUCUUCAUGAUAAAUUUAGAUGCAUACUUUGUUUGUCUUAGAAAACAUACUUUGAGCAUAUGUUAAGUAGAUUUAACAUGCCUAUUGUUCUCCUAGUAAGAUGCAUAUCAUGAAAGGUUGUGUAUUCCUAAAAUCUUAGUGUUUUUAUAAUGAUAAUAAUAAAGCUCAUAUGUUGAAUAUUUCGAAUGUUGCUAUUGUGGGUAGAAAUGUGUGCUCAAAUCUAUACACAUUCUAAUGUUGUUUAUGUUGUAGGUGUAAUUCGAAGAUACUUGAGUGAUCUUAUGAUAGAAAGUAAUAAAACUGCAAAGAAAGUUUUUACAUAUCAAUGACCUGACAUUCUAGAUCUAGUUAGAAAUUUUGAUGUUGAUUUUUGCAUUCUAUCUCGAUGAUACAAAAAAAACUUUUUGUUUCAUUUCAUGUUAGCUCUUGAAAAUUGUCAAACAAAGUCUGAAGAUAACUACUGGAGCAACUAUGCAUACAACAUAGAGGCUGAAGAUGAUAAUUAUGCAAAGAAUAAAGCCUCAAAUUAUUCUGAACUAGACAUUGAGGGUUUGAAAAUGGAAGCAUUUGCUAAAAUUUUUGCAGAAAAAGCACAACUUGGUAAGAAUGGUGAAAUUUCUCAAGGAUAUUAAGAAUUAAAAUAGCUUGCUACAUUUGGCUUUAUUGAACAAUUCACAUGUAUCACGGCAAAGUAAUAUAGGAAAACAUAAACAUUGAAAGAAACUUCAUAAAGAGUAAGUAUAUAUGAUUCUCUUUCACUAGCUAUUUAAUGUAAUCAAAAUAAUUAAUUACUUUAAAAUUCAUUAUUUAUUUUUUGGGCAAAUUACAAAUUACUUAUUAGUCAAGAAGUACAUGUAUUGUAAUUUUAUAAUCAAGCCUUACUGAUGAUAAUUUGCAUUUCAAGUUGAAUAGCUUUAAUGCAAGUAAAUUGGUUUCAAAAACUAAAAGGAUAUCCAUAAUAAAUUGAAUGAUAUUCUAUAGUAUUAUUCUUUAUCUAGAGCCACAAGAUAUGUAGUUUAAUAUUUUUAUGUCACCUAUCUUUUGUAAUGCCAUCUGACUUGACUUUAAAUAUUGUAUUUUCACUAAAAUCAUGCACAAGCAAUGGGUCACUCAUUUUAUUCUAAUUCCUAUGUUACAUUUGAGCAACAUACUUGACAUCUCAAUAUUAAUUCACACAAUUUUUUUGUUAUUCAUUAAAUAGAAAUUAUUGACUUGCCAUAUAACUGAGAGAUUGAAAAUCCAAUAGGACAAUAUGUUUCUACUACUAACUGUUUUUUUUUUUUUUUGUAAACAUAUGUUUCUACUUUCUAUUUUACAUUAUAUGAUAUUUAUCAAAAUGAUUUUAGUUAUUGUAUAGUGACAUUAAUGUGAUAGGACAGUGAAAUUGAAAGAUAGAUUAUUUUCAAUAGAAUUAAUUUUUGAUUAAACGCAUAAUAUGUCGACUAAACAUAUAUAAUCAAUCAAUAUACCUUAAAGAAUUUUGUUCAAUGAGAGGGUUUGAAUUCAUUAAUGAGAACUCAAGCUUUCUUCGACCUCUUAAGAAUGCUUGGGUUGUUUUUAAGAAUUAAUUUUGAUUUGUUUGUACUUUACAUAAUAUUGACAUUUGUUAGUUUUUGUUGCCAAAUCUUGUAUUACAUUUUAAUUAUUUGAAAUAGACUUUUUUAUUACCUAACUUUAACUAUGAACUGUAUGUAUCCUUUUAAAUUGCAUGCACAUCUGUAACUUUUCAUUUUUUUCUAAAAACUCACUUUACAAAUAUAAAGUAUAAACCUCUAAUGCUCUUACUGUUGUUAAAUCUUAUAUUUUAAUUUUAUUCCUUAAGACAUGAAGCUUUUUUGUUAGUCUAAAUCAACCGUUAAUGCUAUAUAUCUUCACAGCUUACAAAUUUUAUGUUGUUAGCUCUAGCCUAAAUUGUUUCUUAGGAUAGAAUCAACAAGUUUUUUUUAUAUAUUUUUAGAAUAAGUUUCAAUUAUAAGUACUUUUAUCUUAAACCAUAUUUUUUUUCUCUAACCAGUAGUUAUUGAUGAUAUACGCUAAAUAUGUUAAUAUGCAUAGAAAGAAUCUCUUCUUUUUAUUAUUACUUGGUUUCUUUAUUGUUGUGAAAAAAGAUGAUAGUAAGAAGUUAAAAAAGGAGGAAGAUGGGUACAGAGAUCAAAAUAAAUGUUUGGGGGUUGUUAGGAGUUUAAGUUAGUCAAAAGACAUGAUUAUCUCUUUCUAAAUUUUAAUGCUUAUCAAAAUAAAAAAGAAAAGUGGAAUAGGGACUGAAGAAGAUAAAAACAAGUUGAGAAUAAAAUAGAAGAUUAUUUGUUAUUCAAACACAUGGUUUUGAUAGUAAAUAAGAUAAAAGAUGCAACCCAAUGAUAAAUGCACCUAUCUCUUUUUUUUAAAAAAAUCAUAGGAUUCCUUUAAUGUAAUAAUAAAUUCAAAAGCUAAUAAAUAUAAUUGUAAUAUUAAUUAUAAUCAUAUUAAUCCUAAUAGAGAAAGGAGUAUCUUUGGAUUACAAUUAAUAAUACUUAUUGUUACUGUAAUUUCAAAUCUAAAUAUGAAAAUAAUUCUAAUUUAUUAGUUGCUAAAAACUUAAUAAUAACCUCACAUACAAGAGAACCUUUUAUAUAUAUAUAUAUUUGGUAUUGAUGAGUGGAGUUAAUUAAAGGAACAAAUGAGAGAUUGAAGGUAUUUUGUUUUUAAGAAAAAAAGUGAUUUAUUAUAUAUUUUCUUACUUAUUAGGUAAGAUCACUAUCAACCCUAAUUUUUUUUAUGCUUAUUACUGCUUGAUUUGCAAUGCUGGAAUUAUUUGUUUAUAGCUUUGUUUAAUCAAACAAGAAGCAAAACUUCAAUUUGAAUUCCUAUAACCUGAUAUUUAUAUCAAUUUUAAUAACCGAUUAUUAAAGAUUAAUGCAUCUUAGUUGAUUAUCACCAAUCUUGUUUCAUAUAAAUUUAUUUUAAUUCUUUAUUAUUGAAGAUAACUUUAAAUAUUUUGAUCCAUUGACUCCACUUGACAAGGUGGCUCCACAUUUUAUUUUUUUAAAAUAUUGAUUUGAUUUUAGUAGCUAAUAUCAAGUUUUAUUCACUUGAAACUUUAAUCAAAGAUAUUCACAAGUUAAAGGAUAUAAAUUGGAUUUGUAUGUUGCAAACAAGUGAGAAAACUAAAUCAUUCUACCAAUAUUAUAUUAUUGGUUCUAGUUUAAUUACUAUUAGAUAGGAGUCUCUUUACUUUUUUUUUCUUAGAUUUUUUGACUAAAUUUUAUUUCCUUCUAAUUAGUUAACCUAAGAGCUUUAAUGUAUACAAUAUAAUAUUUUUAGAUAGGAAAAUAGUUUGGGUUUUGUAAACAUGGAAGCAAUAGCUGAGGUUGAUGAUGAAUGAUCAUCUAUUCUUUUUUUCCCCUCAUAUCUCAACCUUAUCCUUGACUUGUUAUAUCUCAAGGAGAGUUUAAAAGAAGGCAAACAUUUUUCAACGUAUCACAACAUCUAUAUUACACUAAAAUCAUUCCUGAGAUGCACCAUAAACAAAAAUGUUGCUUUUCUUUUUUAUUGUUAAUGUUAUUGAAUCUUAUCUCAUCUUAUUAUUCUUUUCUAAAUCUUGCUUUAACGGGGACAAUGCAACUUCCUUCUUUCAAUAUGGAAUUUGGCUCGUGCAUUCUCACAGUACCUCUAAGUGAUCUAAAUUGCCGUAUUCUUUUCUUUAAUCUUGUAGAUGAUGAAUUUAUAAUUUAUUUUUUCGAAGAUUGUGAGUUUUCGAAACAAAAGUUGGAACACGAUAUUUGUGAUCGGUAUGAUAACAUUUGGACGAAAAAAUAUUACAUUUCUUCAAAAUAUUGUUUGCUUACAAUUUAGUUUAAAGGAUAAGUUUUCGAUUAAUAACAUUAUCAAAAAGAAUCAAAACUGUUUAACUUUACCAUUCAACACAAAACAUAUUGGGUUGAAUAUUUGAAGAGAUGUUGCUUGUUUAUAAGAUUUUCUCUCCAACAUUGUGACAAUGAGGUUCAUAUUUUGAAGUUUUUGGGUUUGAUUCUUGUGAAAGGGAAUGGGUUGAGGUGAAAAAUAUUGAAAAUAAUACAAUUUUACUCACAAAUAAAAUGUUAUAGCUCAUGUUGCCCAACAGCUAAAGAAUCUAAUAUAAAGAGAAACUCCAUUUACUAUAAUCAAUGUGAAGAUAGAGACCUUUAUGUUUAUGACUUGGAAGAUCAAAAUGUUACAACAUAUUUACCUUGCCUUGUUGUCAAUCAUCGAGAAUCAUUUUAUUGUUGGAGUAUAUUGCCAAUGGCAGACAACUCAUUAUUGUCAACAAUGAGAUUUUUGGUCUUGGCUUCUGAAGAUGGCAUGUUUUUUUUUUUUUUUUAUUUAAGCUGUUAUUAACUUGGUAGGAAAUGUGUUUUUAAGGAUAUAAUUGUGGGCUUGAAGUAUGGAUCUUCAUGCAGGUCAUUGGGUUCAUGCUAAAAUUUUAAAUUUUAAGUAGAAAAUUCAUCCUAAAUCUAGAAAAACCCAAAAAAGUUUCAAAUUCUUGAAAACUUGAUAGAAAUCCAAAAAAAAAAACCAACAGAAAACCCCAGCAAAAAUCCCAGAAACUUAAUAGAAUAUGAAAUCAAACUUAGAAAUUAAAACCCAAAUUUAAAAAACCUAAAAGCAAAUUAAAUCAAACUCAGAACAAAAUAAAAUCAAGAACCCAAAAAAAAACUCAAAAUUUGCUUGAAUGAUUCUUUUCCAAAAUUAAAAAAAUAGAAAACUAAAAUCUUUGAAAAAUUUUUUUACCCUCCUUUGUGCGUGGUUUUUAUUUAUUUAUAGAGAUCGAAUCCCUUUAAAUUUGAAAAAUAAGUCAAAUUAAUUAUGAUUUUAUUGUAAUUUUAUAAUUUGUGAUUUGAUUUUAAUUUUCUCUUUUACAAGGUUUGCGUGAAUCAAGCCACAAUCACUCAUUUUCUUAUUUCUCUUUUUUUUUUUUACUUUUGACUUUUUAAAAAAAACAAGUAAAAUAAAAAUAAAUAAAUAAAUAAAAUUCAAUCAAAUUAAAAUUGAAAAUUUUCUUAUUGGGCCUGAAGCUUCCCGAUCAAGCCCAAUUUUAUAGUCAAAGCUCAUUUUCGAUCUUAAAAAAAAUUUGGAUAAAAUAGAAUGUCUACAAUUGCUCGUAUUUACAUAGUUUUUUGUGAAGUAAGAAUUGCACAAAGAUAAAAGACAACCAUUUUGUUCAGGUUAAAAAGAUAAAAAAAAAAAAAACCUUAAAAUCCAAAGAUUCACAAUUUGAAAAUUCAAAGGUUCAUAAAAUUCGAAAGAUUUGCAAAACUCCAUAACAAGAAUUGAAAGAUUCAAAGACUCCAAGAUUAAAAAAAAAAAAAAUUCAUAAUGAUUUCAAAUUUUCAAAGGUUUAAGAUUUGUAAAGAUUUUUAGAUUCGCAAAAAUUUCAAGUUUCACAAAGAUUCCAAAAGUUUGUAAAUGAUUCAAGAUUUUCAGAGAAUCUAGAUUCACAAAGAUUUCAAGUUUCGCAAAGAUUUCAAUUUUGCAAAAUUUUAAGUUUUGUAGGGAUUCCAAAUUUGCAAAGGUUUCAAAUUCAUAAAAAAUUUUAGAUUCGUAAGAAUUUCCAAGUUUCGCAAAGGUUCCAGAUUUGCAAAAGUUUUAAAUUUAGCAAAGGUUCCAAAUUGCAAAUAUUCUAGAUUUGCAAAAAUUUCAAGCUCCGUAGAAAUUCUAAUUUCGCAAAUGUUUCAUAUAUGCAAGAAUUUAGAAUCACAAGAAUAGAAGAUUCGCAAGGUUUUCAGAUUUGUAAGAUUGAAGAUUCAUAAGAAAUACCAUUUCACAAGAAUUUUUCAAAUUCAAAAGAGUUUUAGAUUAUCAAGAAUUUUAAAUUUGCAAGAAUUUCAGUUUCACAAUAAUUUCAGUUUUGCAAGAAUUUAAGUUUCACAAAAGUUUCAAAAAUUCUCAAGAGAUUCAGGCUCGCAAGAAUUUGAUAAAGUUUCAAAUUGGCAAGAAUUGAUAGAUUCACAAGGAUUUCAAAUUCACAAGAAUUUUAGAUUCGCAAGAAAUAAAAAAUUCACAAAACUUUUAGGUUCUCAAGAACUUCAGAUGGAAGAUUCACCAAAACUUCACAUUCGCAAGAAUUUUUAAUUUGUAAAGAUUCACAAACUGUAUUUCACAAAUAAGAUUCAAAGAUUUGCAUUCAAAAGAUUUAAAAUUUCAUAAAAAAAAUUCAUUGAUUCACAUUAAAGAUUUCAAGGUCCAUAGUUAGAAUUCAAAGAUUCUCAUUCAAAAGGUUUAGGGUUUCACAUCCAAAAGCUAAAGAUUUUUCCUUGAAAAUUUAAAAAUUCACAUCCAAAAUUUCAAAAUUUCACAUUAAAAAAAAUUUUAAAAAUUAACAUUUAAAAGUUAAAGAUUUUUAUUCAAAAAGUUUAAAGAUUCACAUCCAAAGAUUUCAAAGAUUCACAUUCAAAAAAUUAAAGAUUCACAUCCAAAGUUUUAAAAGGUUUUUGCUUUUCAAAAUUUUUAUAGCUUCACACCUAAAGAUUCUCAUUUGAAAAAAAAAUUUUAGCAUCCAUAAUUUCAAAGAUUCUUAUUUGAAAAGCUCUUUUAAACAAAAGCUAUAUAUUUAAAAAGUUUGAAAAGUUUUUCUUAUAAAAAGAAAAAUCUUAUCAUGAAAGAUAAAAAAAGAAAAAUCUUAUCAUGAAAGAUAAAAAAAAAAAUCUUAUCAUGAAAGAUCUUUCUCAUUCGAGGAUUUAAAAGUAAAAAAUUUUCUCCAAUCAGAGUCAAAUUUUGCAUGCAAUAAAUGUCAAUGCAAAUGUUUUUUACAUGUUGUAAAUGUAACAAUAUAGAUUCUCACUAAAUGAUGCAAAUGCAUGUCUUAAACAAUAGUGGAAAUGGCAUACUAUAAUUCAAGUGUUCUUCAUAUGAUACAAAUGCAUGCCCUAAGCAUGAUGCAAAUGUAAUUAUCAAAUAUUUAAAUACAAUGUAAACACAAUAUAUGUAAUGCAAAUAUCACUAAAUCAAUGCCAUGAAAUUCCAAUUGUGGUAUUUUAAGACUCCACCAUCUCAUAUAUUCUUUCUCAGUUUCUCAGCAUUAACAAUUUCAGAAUAAAUUUUAUCAACUGAUCUGUCUCAUUUUCUCAUCUAGUCAUAAUUUACAGAUUAUGUUAACCAAUUCAUCAUUUGUAUUAAUUACUGGGUUACCUCAUUUGUCCUUUUCAAAUCAUUUUUUCAAGCUUCAACCAUUUUUGUCAUCUGGGAUUUUUUUCAAAAGAAUAAAAAAAAUCUUUUACAGAUAUUAUCAUUCACUUAUUUAUCAUCAUUCUAAUUCAUAACAAAUAUGAUACAGUUUCUCAAUUCAUUCAAAGGAUGUAAACUUAGUAAAAAAACAAGGAAAAUGAGUAUAUAUUAUCGCAUUGAAAUCUGGUAAAGAACAAAGCAAAAUAUUGUGGCUAUUUAAAUGGGAUAUUAAUAUCCAAAAUAAUGAUUGUUUAGAAAAUCUUGAACUCUAACUCAAAAUUCUUUCUCAAAAACAUAUUCUAUCAAUAUUCUCAAUCUUUAAACCAAUCAUCAUCCAUAUUUCUAGAAUCUUUCGACGAAGCUAUUUUCCUGAGUUUUUAUUUUAUUUUUUUUACUUAAACUGUCAUUUCUUGCUUUUAGUUUAAGUUUUUUUUUUUUUUAUCUUUCUUCUCAUCAAAAUCCCAAACAAUCUAAUGAAAAAUCUACAUCAAUUAAAUUCAUGAUUUUUCAAUUCGAGUAUUCAUAUUCAAUUAAAAUAGACUUUUCAAAAGAUGUAACGUAGGCUAAGGUAAAUGAUCAUGAAAGAAAUGGAUAAAAUAAGCCUAAAAUGUAUUUGAAGAGUAAUCAAACAAAGGAUAAUUUCUUUCCAUGUAUAGCAUUUUAACAUUUUGCCCUAUUAAUUUCUUUUUCUUGUUCUUUUUUUUUUUUUUGCUUAUUUGCUUUUUUUCUCAUCUUUUUUUUUGUGCUUUUCGUCAUUUUUUUAGAAAGAUUUAAGCAUAAAAGGGUUUUGCUCCUGAAAUCAUUAAGGAUCUCUACUUUUCAAGCUUCUCAAACUUUGCCCCUCGUGUGAGGUGAGACUUGGUUAAGGUUCCUUGAAAGAAAAUUUUAACAGGCUUAAAUGAGGAAGCAAAGGAUAAUUUUAUUCUUUUUGUUAAGGGUAAAGAAUGAAUUAUUUCAAAAAUCAUGUAUUGCAUCACUUUCACAUCUCAAUAAAUGAAAUUCUUCACCAAAUUUAUCUUUUUUUAUUCAAUAGUCCUAAUAAAUCAACAACCUUAAUUUAUCAAUCAUAUCAUCAUCAUGAAUGAUAUUUUAAAAAAUCGAAUCUUGAAUUAUUAUUAUGAUUAUCUGAAUAUUCAGUAUUGGAAUUAAAUAAUGAACAAGGGAAAGAUAUGAGAAGGUAAAAGUAUAUAACGGUGAUUCACACAAAAAAAAAUCAUGAAAAUGCAUAAUAUUUGCCACUUUUAUUAAAAUGAUGAAAAAUAAAAUGAAAUUCAAGUAUAAUAAAAAAAGUCCAUCAUUUUAAAAAAUCUUAAAAAGACAAGGAGUUCCAAUAAGCUUUCUUAAAAUUAUACCUCUGGUGAUCAGGCAAAGGGCCUUUGUAAACAUUCAGUUCUCAUGAUUCAUUGAAGCUCAUAAAGCUAACUCGAAUCAAACUUUGCAUUUUAUACUUGAAAAUAGGGCAGGUUUCUAUAAAGUAACCCACAUUUGCAUUAUGAUAAUCACUUAUGACAUUAACAUUGUAUCAUUUGGGAUAUGGUAGCUUUAAUGGUUUCAAAAGAAUUAAGGAUACCAAGUCAUUCUUGUCCAAAUUUAGGAAUAGUUCAGUAUAGGUUAUAAGGAUAGGAUCAAUGCAAGCUUUCUCUUGGUUGCCCUUGGAUCUUUCUAAAUCACUCGCUUGACUAUUAGACCUUGAAAUUGAUAUAGUGACAAGAUUAGGCCUAUAUACAGGUGCUUGAAAGGCUAGUUGAUAAGAGCUUAGGUAGAUGUUAUUCAUGUUGGGUAAUGAGGCUGGUAAAAAAGUUGUGUAAUAUUAUUGAUUGAAGAGUACCAAACAAAAUAAAUAGGUGGUACAUAUGGAGUCUAACCUCUAAAUUGUUGUAUUUUAAAACUCAUCGCUUAGGCUUCGACUUCUUUUUUCUUAGGCAUCUCACCUUUCUUGAUACUGUUGGCCUUUUUUUCUUCAAGCUUACCACUAUUGAUAGCAUUUUUAAUAAUUUUUUCUGAGAUCACCACAUCAGUAAAACUUUUUAUUGCAUUUCCUAUCAUUUUUUUCAUAAUAUGGUGCAUUCAAAGAGUUAAUGAAUAGUAUUAUCAUUGUCUUUUCAGACAAAAGAGGUUGAACUUGAUAAGCCAUAUCGCUCCACCGUUGGGCAUAUUUUUUGGAGAACUCUAUUGUACUCUUUUUUGUGCUUUGUAAAAAAAAAAUGUUCAUGAGCCAUAUCUAUAAUAUGAUGACAUUGAUUGAUGAAGAAGCAAGUUAAAUCCUUCUAUGAUCGAGUAUGAAUCUUGUCCAACUAGACAUAUCACUUUACAAUAGACCCAAUUAAACUGUCUUGGAAUACAUGUAUGAGUAACCUCUCAUUACUAGCGUAGGUUGUCAUUUUACGAUAGUACAUCAUAACAUGUGUGAUGAGAUAUUUGGUACCAUCAAAUUUCAUAAACUUAAGUACUUUAAGCUUUGGAGGUAUCCUCAUAUUUGGUACCCCAGCAACAUCUAUAGAACUGUAAAAAUCAAUGCCUUCCACAGCUCACAGUCUUUCAUCAAGAAUGUUCAUCAUGUAAUCAAUUUUAGAAUUCUUCAUACUUUCAAUGGCUUUCAAUUUCAACUUCUUAUUCUCUUUAAGGUCAUUUAAGUUGGGGAUCAGGACUAGCUUUACCACCUUUUCAAUAAAGAUAGGAUUAGCAAAACUUUGAAAUUGCCCUUAAAUUGGUGCAUAUGGCAUUCCUAUAUAAGUAUACCCUAUAGGAAAUGUGAAUUGUUUUGAUGAAAUGCCUUAAGUGGAACAAGCCUGAGGUGGGCCAUGACUAGGAGGAUAUAGAGGAUCAAUAAUAUCUUGCAAUGGAUGGUUAUUAGGUUUAGCAUCUUCUUUUAUAGUUUUUCUUUUAUUCAACUUGGCUAAUUCUUCAAGGAUUUUGUUCAACUCCCUUUUGAUUUCUUCUUCAGCCUUUUCUAACUUCUCAAUGUGGCUUGCAUUUUCUUACUUCAUUUUGACUUGAGCUCAGGUGUUAUACUGGCGGUGAGUUAGUUGAGUUAUCCUUGAAUCUUGAUUUACCACAAUUAGGGUACAUAUUUAGAGUGAUGUUUAUAGAACUAUCUAAUUAUAAUGAAAUUGAAUACAAAAAUGCAUGAAUGCAAUAAGGAAGAUUUAAUGACGUAAAUGCAUACAUAUAUAAUAAAAGAAAAUGGUUAAUAAACAUAAUAUAUGCAAAAAAUAAUAUAUACAAAAAACAACAUAAAGGGUUAGCAUGCAAAUACAAAGAAAAUACAUAAAUUUACAAACAUAAUAAAUGUCUCAUCAUAUAUCCUAUUUAGGAUUUUCUAACACAAGGGAAGGCAUGGCUUUAACUUAGGUUCGAACCCUUAAGGUUCAUUUACAUACUAGGUUCAAAGAUUUGACAAUCUAAGAGUUUUCAAAUUAUUUUUUACAUCAUUAUCUAUUAUAGACUAAUAAGGCAUCUCAAUUUUCAUCCAUUAUAGGCUACAAGUGAAAAUGAUUCAAUUUGAAUAGGAGUUUUUCACUAGCUCAUGCAAAAACAUGAAAUCUUGCAAAGGCGUAAGUACUUUAUUCCUCCCUCUUAGGGGACAGAACUUAGUGUAGAACUCAUGUUAUGCAUGUGUAUGUGAAUGACAGAUAUAUACAAUGAAUAAAUAAAUAAAUAAAUACAAAUAAGAAAAAAAAUCUCAAAUUUAUUAGGUAAGGCUUAGAUAACAAGAAAUUAUUUAUUUGUUUGACUCUCGAUUUCUCCAGUGGAGUUACCAAAUUGUCAUAACGUAUAAAUCCGUGGACUUACCGCUAGACAUAGAUUAAAGAAAUCAUCACCAAUCUUUUUUAAUUUAGGUGUGAUUGAUCACCUAAUUAAAUAUGUUCUUUAAAGAUGAGUCUUAAGAUUGACUUAGGUAUCUUUAAAUAGUAAAUUACAAUCCACAAAACUAGAUUUUAGGUUUGAAAGUGCGGUUAUAUAUGAGAAAGGUUAUAGCACCUUCAUAGUGCCCAUCCAAAAAUUGGUACUAGUUUGAUUUCAAAUUAUUCAAGUCUCAACUAUAUUUAUGAUUUAUCAAAAAUUUAAUAUUAAAAAUUAAUCUUAAAAUUGCUCCAAUAAUUUAGUAAUAAUUUAAGAUAAUUCUCUCAUCUUAAAAGUAUUCAUGGAGACUGAUGUUUUAUUUUAAAGAGUCUCUGUCAUUGGAUUCAUUUGAUUUUCUUAUAAAAACUUUUAUUUAUGAAAAUGAGGUUUAAAACUUUGGUAUUUAAAAAUUAUUAUUCAAAUUUUUUAAUAUGUUGGUAAAAUUUAAAAAAGAUCUUCACACAUAAGAAUUUACAUCAAUAUUGCUAUUUACAACACUUUUAGUAAUUUUAUUAUCGAAGAUUCAAAAAUUUAAUUUUAAAAAAAUAAUUUAUUUUCAAAAAUAUCAUCUAAUAUAUUAGUAAGAUUUUUUUUUCAAAAAAUAUCUUUCAAUCUAUUUUUUUAUUUUUUAUCAAAUGAUUUACUUAUUAGGUUUUUUAAUAUCGAUCUUGUUAAAAUAUUGAAACCACCUCCUUAUAUAGUAUAAGGUGAGUAACCGCACUUCAAUAUCAAAAAUAAUAAUAAUAAUAAUAAAAAACCAAUAAAACAUAAUAUGUUAUUAUUUUUUUUAUAAAGUACAUAAAUGAAUAUAGUUCUCUUUUCUUCUUUUUCCUAUAAAACAUCAUCUCAUUUGAAAGUUUGAAAGGAAAGAUUUCACCGUAAAAUAUGCUCUAUGAAAAAAAUCUUAAAAAUUAAUUAAAAAUUUCCUUAUUAAAAAUCUCAUGUUACACGUUUCACAAGUUGAAGAGAAAAUAUUUUAAUUUUAAAAUAAUACUACUGAUAGGUACAAUUUAUUAUAUCUCAUUAAAUUAUUUUUUUUAAAAUUAAUAAAAAUUUUAACGUACAAAGAUGAAUUUUAAUAAAGGAAGCUCUUAUAGAUCAAUUGGUUAUUGCACGCGUUUAGUAAGCGGGAUGUCUUGAAUUUGACUCGUUGAUUCUGAUCGAUACUGUUUUUUUAAUUCAAUAAGUCUUUCUCUUUAAAACAUUUACAAUCUCAAUCUUACCAUCCAACAACAAAAGAAUCAUGUAAAACAUUUAAUAUAUAUAUAUAUAUAUAUUUUUUUUUUUUGUUUAAUCCUUAACGUGCAUUCUCUUCUUCUUCUUCAUGCCAAUCCCAUAUCCAUUCCAAGAAAAUGAUUCUUGCCCACCAAACUUCCCCUCUUUUUCUCCAGAAAUUCCUUCCCAAAACUGCUUCUAAGUUAAGGUGUAUGCCCAAGAAAUUCACUGUUUCUGCUUCCCUUAACACCAUAGCUGCUGCUGCUGCCUCUGGCUCUGGUGCCACUGUCCAUGGGACAGUCACUUCUUCUAUUACCCAAGUGGCUGUUAUUGCCUUUGCUAUUGCCUCUGGAGCUUGUCUCUCCACUAAGGUUGACUUUUUAUGGCCUAAAGUGGAGGAGCAACAAGGUGCCUUUCUGUUACAUUUUUUUUUUUGGAACUUCUCUUUUGUCGGUUUUUGCCUCAUUUUGCGCUUUUCUAAUUUAGAUGGAAAUAAUAAUGUUUUGUUACAUUCAAUUUUAGGCAACCCACUAGGAGUUAUUUUUGCAAUUCUAGAUUAGGGGAAAUACUAGAUGUGUGCUUUGUUCACGACUGGCUAUUAAGAUCCUCCUCAUAAUCUCAUACUAUGUUAUCUUUUUCGUUUUAAAUGUAAUUCAUGUUUUCGAGCCUGUUUCUUGGUGUAUAGUUUUUUUGGAUGUUCAUUUUAUUUUGCAGGCACUGCUUUUCAGUUUUCUAAUUCUUACAAUUGCGCAUAGAACUACAAAGCUUUUACAAUUGGCAUGUAAGAAUGUCUUUCUUAGUGGAAGCUCUCUCUCUCACGCACAUGUAUUUACGUAUUUUGAGCUAAAAGACUCUGCUUUUGAUCCCAAAAUUAUGGAAUAAUAGUUAAGCAUAAUGAAAAGGAUAUAGUUUUCAUUAGAAACCUUGUGUUCCUCCCUGUUACAUCAAUUAUUAAUUCUUGAUGUUAGCUCAUUAGCAAGAGCACGACUAUAAUUUAUGCUCUUUAUAGUUUAUAAUGACAACCUGCUGCUUGCUUUGCCUAAUCAAUAAUCCAUUCACUGUCGACUUACUGAAUCAUGUUCUUGAUGUUUUCUGCUCUCAAAUUUCAAGUUAACAAUGUCAAUCUAUGUGUGCAGGUUCUUUUACAGCGGAAGGAAUAGAUGUGACUGGCUAUCCUAUAUUUAACGAGGCAAAGGUUUGCCAUCUCUACUUGGCUUGUAAGUUGGAUGUAGUCCUCUUCUGCCACUAAAACACUGAAUUUGUGAAGGUAGGUGCAAAAAGCUAUUGCAUUUGCAAAAAGAGCUCACAGUAGGCAGUUGAGGAAAACAGGAGAGCCGUAUUUAUCACAUUGCAUUCACACGGGAAGAAUCUUAGCUAUGUUGGUUCCAUCAAGUGGCCUACGUUCAUGAAACUGUAUAGUUAUUAAGUUUGUUGCAUUGUGCUGUGUCUAUAUACUUUGUUCUUCUGAUAAUUUUUCAACAACUUACUAGUAUUUUUUUUCUGUGGGUGCUCCUCAAGUACAUAAAUUGCAUGUAGGUUACACUUUUUUAUUCCUUCAGCAUAUUAUGCUGUUUGACUCCUAUAUUGACCUAGUGUUUUUCCAUUUUUAAUCUGUCUCAUACUUCUAGACCAGUGCAAUAUGACUAUUUCUAUCUUUCAUAGAAGUUAGUGAGCCAUUGUGAUAGUAUGCAGGUACAAGGAUAAUUGCCAUAUAAUAUGGUAGGAAAACAUCUUAGAGUAAAAGCAAUAGACAUUUUGAUGUUUUAGAGUGUAACUGUAGCCAUUUUAAUGUCUUGAUUGUAAUGGUUAAUAGUUUGUUCUUAUGAUAAAAAUGUUUACAUGGGUAGAUAGUUAACUGAACUCAAUUCUUGAUGGUCUGGAAACUGGGUUCAUUCUUUCACUUUCUUGUAAUAUUAUGCUGAGUCAAUUGCAUUCUUUCUUCUUAUUACCAAAAAAGUUAGCCCUCAAAAGUGCCAAGGUUGCCCAAAAACUUGCUUCACUUUCAGUUAAUUCCCUAACUAAGGUCCUAAAGUUUGGUGCAGGCUAUUGACACAGUUGUGGCUGGGAUACUACAUGAUGUGGUUGAUGAUAUAUGUGAAAGUUUGCUCAGCACAGAAGCAGAGUUUGGUGAUGAGGUGGUCAGGUCAGUAGCUAGUGUUUCUAGAUUAAGUUAUAUAAAUCAGGCAGAGUCUUCAUUUUAAUUGGUUCUGUCUGUAGAGUCCUCAUCCUUAAAUCUUGGUUUUUCAUUAAAAAAAUAUUUGUAAGCAGAAAGCUUACCGGCAUUUUAUUUAACUGGUAUUGUAGCCCUUUCAGGAGGAUGGAUUUUUUCUUUCUCCUUUUCCUGCGUUAGUGAUUAGUGAUGUGCUUGGUCUAGCGAAAGCUAACUCCAGUUGUGUAAUCCACAGUUGGUUGUUUGGGCAUGUUUUAAAAUGUAAUAGAAAAAAAUAAAGUAGAAAGAACAGAACAAGUAAAGAAAAUAAGUUUCAUGUUGAUGGAAAUAGCAUGUAAUUUCUUUUUUUAAAUAAAAUAUUCUUUUAUUGAGCUGGAAAAGGUCCAGCAACUCUGCAGCUAUAAGUCAUCUUGCAUUGAAGAAUGAAGUUUUGGAAAAUUAUUUCAUUUCUGGAAUUGGAGAUGGUAUUCACGAGAAAUUCCUAGUAUGUGUAAUUCAACUCAUUCACCAUAUUUAAAACUCCAGAAAACAUAAACAUCACUAAGGCAUGUUUAUCUUCCUAUCAAAUUUUUUAUUUCAAUUUCGAACUAUGGAGAAAUAUCUAGAAACAACUUAUGAUUUAGGUUUUGAAAGUAAUCAUUAUUUAUAUCUUUUCCCUUAUUAAAAGCAAGAAAAAGACAGAAAGGGUUUUCCUUCUGAUAUCUAUUAUGGUGUGUCUGGGAAAAAUAUUAUCUCAUCAAGUGAUGGCAAUGAUAGGGAAACCAUAAUGAUGUUGCUGUCAGAAGUAGAAAGUUUGAAUUAUAAAGUCUUGCCCUUUCUUCUUAUUGGUUUUCUUGCCACCUUAGUGUCAUGUUUGCCAUCUUUUGUGUUGUUACCCUUGUUAGCAUGCUAGAAUGCCUGUUUAUUACAAUAUUUUUUUACAUUGUCAUGAUCGUGCUCGAGUUUUGGAUCCUCUGAUAGUGAUAUUUAAUCACUCCCACUAUAUUUAUGUUGUCAUGUGACUCAUCUAAUAUAUUGUUUUGUAGUUUCUACAGAAACAUCGCAGGAUAAAUGUUAACCAGAGUACCCUUGGUUAUGAAGAGGUGCAUGGUUAGAUAAUUUACAUGCAACAAAAAAUGUAGUGUGGUUGAUGUAAUUUAGAAACUGAUUUGUAAGCUAAACAAUAGGUGAAACUUCAUGAUUUAUAUGGGUACACAUUACAUAGACUAAGCUAAAUAUCAAUUGUAUGGUUCCUUAUGAUAUAACUAAAUAGCAUAUUCAAUGUAUGAUUAAUUCUUUUUAGUGCUACUGGUUGGGAGGUCAGUUGUAAUGGUUUUGAGCGCAUUCUCUGACAUGCAGUGAAUGUUUAAAUCUGUAUUGUUUUACACUUAAAAUGGAUUGGUCAAGAAGUUAUUUUAAUAUGUAAAGGAAAGGGAAAACAGAACUGUAGAAAAUGCAUCUUGCUGGGAUGGAAGUGAUAGUAGUUACAAGUCACUGUGAUAUCAUAUGAGGGUCUUGAUAGCAAUUGUGUUGAUUCUUUCCUAAGGGCAUGUCAAGUUCUAUAGUUCAAAGCACUCUUCUUGUUCUUGUGGUCAUCUUCAAGAUUUAUCUCAAUGCAUAUGUGUGGUGAGAAUGACAUGUUCUCAAAGAACUGCAUGGGUGGGACACUGUAAUAUAGGGGGAUAGAUAAAUAAAUUAAUUAGGUUUGGUUGUAAGUAUGUGAACAGUGAUUAGCGGCUGUUGUGUUCUAAUUUCACAUUCUUUUCUUUUACUUUUAAGGCAAAUAAUCUGUGAGUCAUGCUCUUGGGAAUGGUUGAUGAUCCCCGUGUGGUGCUUAUCAAGCUGGCAGACUAUCUUCACAAUAUGAGAACCAUGUAAUGCCUCUCAAAAUUUAUUUAUUAGAUUAUUAUAUAUGCAGAAAACAGAUUUCUGUUUGUUUUUCUAUUUCAUAAUUCAUUGGAUCGACAACCAAGGCUUGGCCUAGCUGUUAUGAUCCCUCCAUAAGAGGAUCAAGGUCCAAGGUUUGGAUUCAUUAUCCCCCUUGGACUUUCUUGUGUAUAUCACAUAACUAAUUCAUUGAAAUGGAAAAAAUUAUUAAUCCAUUUAUUUUAUCUUUUAAAUUCUAAAUUUCUAAACCCUUUAGGAAUCUUGCAUUAUCGACAUACUGUAUUUCUCCAUCCAUUGAACAUAUGUAUAAGGACAGAUUGCUUCAAAGUGUGUCAAGCUCUGAGAAAUUUAUAACAAAAUCCAUGGUGCUAUAAUUCUUAAAAUUUAUGGUUCAAUGGUUUGAAGGUUAAACUUUAUGGUAUUGAUGUAUGAAUUGCACUCAAAGGUGUGAUCAUUCUUUACGGUUAUGCCCUGCCCCUCGCUAAGGCUUAGGCUGUUGCACAAGAAACCUUACUUUUUUGGUGUUCCCUAGCUUCUAGAUUGGGUCUGCGGGCACUGAAAGCAGAGCUGAAAGAUCUUUGCUUCGUCUGUUCUUCAGGUAAAGGAGUGUGUUUUCGAGGUCACUGGAAGUUGCAAUAGCAUAUAUCAUAACAUCAUGAAAUAAUAUUAGUUUGUACUUGAUGAUUUUAUGCUACAUAUGUCGUUUUACUCUAUUUAGUUCAUGUUAGUUUGAGUAUUAACUCUAUUCUGAUUGGGACAACAUAUUUCAUUUAGGCACCUUGUAUCCAUUGAGUUUGUAAUAGUUAUUUUUAAGUGGUAUUAUAGUUAAGUUUAGGCUGUAUUUUGUCUUCUCAACUAAUUGCCAAUAGGAUUUAGGUUGGAUGUUUAAUACGAUAUUAGAGCUUUUCGUAGUGUUAUACUCAUAAUCCCUAAAUGCUAGAGCAAUUGUUCUCUUUCUCUCUCUGUCUUUUUUUUUUUUUUUCAAAAUUGUGUAGCUAAACUAAUUUAUCUGAAAGUGGGACACACAUUGUGCACGAGUUUUUAAAUUGGGACAUCAAUCAUGGAAUUUUCACCUGAUUUGUUCAAUGAGAAAUAUAUUUCUCUUUUUCCAAAUGUAGCCAAAAAAAAUUAAUACUUAAAAUCUGGUUCCUAACACUUACGGUUUAAGGUCAGUUAGAGUAUGGGUUCUAUGUUCAUAAUCGGGCUUUGCUAUAUGAAACUGUGGUUACAAAGUUCUUGAUAGCUAUGCAUCAGAUACCUUUUAUCACCUUUUAGAUUCAUGCGGGAACAACAAUAUUUUGCAUUGACUUUUAGGUCCAUGCUAUCUGCACACUUUGGAUGAAUUUGCCAUUAAGCAUAUAAAUAUUGCAUAUAGCAUGUUUAAGAUGGUCAAAGAUAUAGAAUGAGAAAAAAAGGGACAAGCUUUGAUUAUGUUUGAACCGUAUGCCAUAGUGUUAUGGUAAUCAAUGUCAUGACUUAAAAUUCUUUUCUGACAGAUAGAAUAGCUUCUUUUUCUUUUGCUCAGCAGGUAUUAUAGCUUCUAACUAAAAAUGUGAAUCCUUUUGGAUUAUGUAUAUCAAAUAAAUUUUGUAACCACAUUUGUUUCAAUUUUGAGGGCACUGGUGCAGCCUCAAAUAUUUAGGAAGCUACGAGCUUAUCUGACCUCAAUGUGGAACCCCAGAAAUAAAGGAGCAUAUCCCAGACGAAUAUCUGCAAAAGCCAGGGGGUCCUCUGUACAGGAAAACAAUUCGGCGCAUGAAGAUGAAGCUUCUAUGAGUGAUGAAGAUAUUACUACCAUAAAGGUAAGUAUAUAGGACAAAUGGUGCUGUGUCUAUAUUCUAGUUAUAUUCUUUUUGGUUGGUUUAAGGCUUGCUUUGAUGUAUUAGGAUUUUGCCAAUUUUAAUGACUACUUGCUAAUAUCGGAAAGUUUUAAUGCAUAAUGUUGAGAAAUCCUGUCUUCCUGCCGGAAAAUUAACAAAGGAUGAAAAUUUCAGGAAGACAGGUUGCUUCAGCCUUCCUUUAAUAGACUAAAUAAAAGUUUUCUUCCUAGUGAACCUUGGAUAGUGUUAAUAAAAAAAUCACCUGAUAUGCUGUCAUUGGGCACCUUCAACACAUGAUCUUGGAAGAUGUCUCAACUUACAUUGUAAUUAUAUAGGAGUGCAUAUUGACCACCGAACAACAUAGCUUGCUUCAAUUCUUUAGUAAAAGACAUUUGGUCGAUGAAUGUAGUGCAAGAGCUUUAUUCUGUUGUCAUGAAUUUCUAUCCAAACUAGCAUGUCAAAUACCAUGUGAUGGUUGCGAUCUGUAGUUACUGUUAUUUUCGGUCAGAUUGCUCUGGUUGUGCUUUACUGCAUAUUUUGAAGUGGUUCAUGCUCUUCCUUGACUAUUUUUGAAACCGUUUGUUUCUUCAAAUAAAAUUCGAGGAGCAAAUUGGCUUUCAUGCUUUAGCCUUCUUGAAAAUAAUAGGACAAUAAUGAAAGAAAUUCCAAGUUAAAAAAGUCAUAACUGAGUAGGAUCCACCCCCUACUCUCAUUAUAUUAUAUUAUGAAAUUAGAUUAGUUUUGAGGAAUUUUCCUUUUCAAAAGAGUACCAAACAGUCUUUAUUAGUUUAUAGUAUAUUAUAUUAUGAAAUAAGAUUAGUUUUGAGGAAUUUUCCUUUUCAAAAGAGUACCAGACAGUCUUAAUUUCCUAUCAGUUAGAUGCACUGAUUAGCUCUAAAUAUAAUUCCAGCGUUUUUAAUCCAUGUAAUAAUAAUUGUGGCAACAUAUGUGCACAUAUCUGGAAGUUUGUAUGCUGAAGAACAAAAGGGUUAGAGGUUUUUGGGUCCGUAGGUAGACAAACAAGUUUUAAAUGUAGCAUUCAACAGAAACCUUAAAUUUGAGUAAUUAGUUCCAGUUGUUUUAUAUAUGCAGGAUCUUUUGGAUGCAGUGGUUCAUUUUGACAUCUUAUUGGAUCGGAGAAAACAUACCAAUUUUCUUGAUAAUCUUGGAAGAAGUUCGGAGAUGGAACCAAAACUGAAGGUUGUGCAGGAUGCUGGAAUUGUGCUGGUAUCUCUUGUUUGCAAGGAGGCACUUGAGAGGGAGCCAUUCAUAUCAAUUUCGUAUGUUUUGCUCACUUAUAAUCAGUUGCUGCUGCUUAUUUCUAUUAAAACUAUUUUGGUUUGAUUUAUUAGUUUUAACUCCUGUACUUGUAAGAGCAACUAUUGUUAGUUUGGUCACAUCUUGUAGGUGCUUUCUCAUCCUCUCCUCUUUUGCAGUGCAGUUAUGUUCCAGGGAUGGAGGUUACUUUAUCUAGCUGAUUAAAAUGUUUGUACUUUGUAUGGUAUCUACAGCAAGGUAUGAGUAACAAUUAAUGUAUGUGUAUCAACUUUUGGAUGCUUUGCUUCUUAGCUGUAAAAUAUUAUAAUUGUGCUUGUUGUUAGAGCCAAAUGCAGUCAAAGCCCCUUCCUUUGCCAUUGUUCAAAAUUCUUCUUGUUCUCCAUGCAUAAUUAACAGUACUGUGAAGGUAUACGACAGUGAUUAUUUUGUAACUGCAGCUCGCAGCUGUUGUAGAGUUAAUUUCACCACAUGUUUCAAAGAGAUAUCUAAGAAUCAACCAUGAACUCGAAUUCUAAUGUACGGCUGAAAAUUUAUCAACAUGCCAGAUCCAUAUAAGAGAUUUUCUGUACUGAAAAUCCUUUUGUUGCAUUGUAUCCUUGAAGCAUUUAACUUAGACUUUUAGAAGACGCAAUAUCAGUCAUGCCGAAAUUAAAAUGUGAUUCUAAAAUCUUUUAGUAAAAAAUGAGCAAGCAAGCUGACCUUUAUUUUGUUGGGAAAGCCUUUACAAUGUCCUGCUGAUAAUGAAGUUCUUGUUCUUGUCUGUAGAUGAAAAGGAAAGAUGUUGGCAUCAAUAAAAUAUAUGAUGCAUGUGCACUGAGGGUAGUUUUUGGAGACAAGAGCGGAACCCUAAAUGGUCCUGCAGUUUAAUGUUGCUACAGUCUUCUCAACAUUGUAUGCAGGUAUUUCAAAGUGUUUCUUCUAUUCAUUUCAUAGAUCUUCUCAAUCUUUAGCAUGGAUUUUUGGAAUUACUUUUAGUUGAUGCAUCGUAUUUUAUAGAAAAGUAUGUGUAGUAGAAGAAACGAAAAUAGAUGUUUUUACUUUCUUUAUAGGUUUAUUUUUGUGGAUAAUUUCUUUGGCCUGUGGUAGCCUUAUUUAAUAGGAAUGUAUAAGUUCUCAAUUUUACCAGAAUUCAUAAAGCCAUACUUCUCAAACAUGCUCAAUUUCCUUUUUAAAAGAAACUAUUAUGAGUCACAUCACCCAUCUUUCUUUGCAGGCUUUGGACUCGAAUUGACGGUGAAUUUGAUGAUUUCAUUGUUAACCCAAAGUCCAGUGGCUAUCAGGUAAUAUUUUGCAAUUAUUCAUUGAUUUAUUGCAGAAAUGGUAUAUCAACAUUCGUCCUGCAAAUAUAGGCCAAACAUGCAUAUAACAUGCUGCAUCAUAUAUGGCCAGCUAAUAUGUAAUAAGUUUCUACCUUUGAAUAUUCCACUCUCGACAGUAGGUGGAAAAUUAUUUGUGAGAACUAAUAUCUUUUUGACUAAAUCUCUUAAAGUGAGUUUUAAGAACAUUUGAAAGUUUGUGAUCUGGAUGGUUUGUUAAUAUCAAUUUUGCACCAGAAAUCCAAUGUAAAAGUUUAAAAUAGAUCAUUAACUGUAUUAAGCUGCAUUAACUGUUUAGAAUACCUAUGUGGUUCUUUGAAUUUUUAGCGUCCUCCAUACUUCUUUGGCAAAGUACCGCAUCAAAUUUCCCGACUUAGUGAGACUUUGCUCUAAAUAAUGGAUCUUUUAUUGUACAUGUUAUGAAAUUGGCUGAAUAGGUUUCUACCAUGAGAGUUCAAAUAAACCGGCAGGUAAUGCUGGAAGAAGCUGUUCACUUACUGGAGUUUUAAAUAUCAAACUUUGCUGUUAUUAAUUAAUUUCAAAAAGUUCUAAAUGUAAUAAUUAAUUUAAAAAACUAAUAAAUGUAAUUGUUAUGUUAAUCAUAAUUAUAUUAAUCCUAAUAAGAAAAGGAAUAUCUUUAGCUUACAAUUAAUAAAGCUCAGACAGAUGUGAGUUGAUUCCCAUCUUUCAAAGGCCUUCUGAAUCUACGGAUUUGGAGGCUGGGACAAAAACUAGAGUAUAUAUGUUAGAACUCCUUAUAUUACCGUAGGUUUACAAGUAAUUAAUUGUUAUAACUCAGUAAAUUACCGUAGGUAAUUGUUGGUAAGCAUCACAAGUAGACACUAGAGUAGAUACUAUGAAUAGGAGGCUAACCUUGUUAGCUCAUAAGUCAGUUGACGACAGAUAAGGAAAGGGGGAUUCUCUUUCAACUAGAGGAGCUGGCUAGAAACAAGGGUGUUAUACUUAUUUCUACAGUAAUUACAAAUUUAAAUCCAAAAAGAAUUCUAAUUAGCUGUCAAAAUUCCAAUAAUAACCUCACAUACUUACAUAAUCUUUUAUAUAUAUAUAUAUAUAUAUUAAUAAUACUUACUGCUACUGCUUUAUUAUUAUAUUGAUGAGUGGAAUUAAUUAAGAGAGCAAAGGAGACAUCGACGCUAUUCUAUUUUUAAGAAGAAAAGCUAUUUAUUAUAUAUCUUUUUAUUUAUUAGGUAUGAUCACUAUCAACCUUUUUUUUUUUUUUUGUGCUUGAUUUACAAUGUUGGGAAGUGGAAUUAAUGUUAUUCUUCUUUUCAUCUCAAUUGAUAAAAGAAGAAAACAAAACUUAUAUCUUGUUUUUAUGUUUCUUUAGAAGCUUAUGCUUGGUAUAGUUUUGGGUUUUGGAUUACGUUUAGGGUUUAGAGUUUAUGGUUUUUAGGGUUAAGCUUUUAGGGCUUUUUUGUUAAUUUCUCAGUUUUUGUAAAUGUCACAGUAACUAUGGAAAACAAAGAUUUGAUACCAUUCGAAGAGCAUCAAGUGGACAAACCUUGCCAAUUGGGUUAUAUGAACAUGGAAGCAAUAGUUGAGGUUGAUAAUGAACGACCGCCGUAUUCUCUUCCUCCCCACAUAUCUCAACCUUACCCUUGGCUUGUUAUAUCUCAUGGAGAGUUUGAUCAAAGGCAAACCUUCUUCAGCAUAUCACAAUAUCAGUAUUACACUAAAAUCAUUCCUGAGAUGCGUAAUAAACAAGUAUGUUGCUCUUCUUUUGGAUGGUUAGUGUUAUUAGAUCUUGUCUCAUUUGAUUGUUCUCUUUUAAAUCUCAUUUCGAUGAAGACAAUUCAACUUCCUCCUUUUAAUAUGAAAUUCGAUACGUGCAUUCUCACGGCACUUCCAAGUGAUCCAAAUUGUCGCAUCCUUUUCUUCAAUCUCGUAGAGGAUGAAUUUAUAUUUUGUUCUCCUGAUGAUUGUGAAUUUUCAAAACAAAAGUUGGAAGACGAUGAUGUGAUUAGUGUGACAACAUUUGGAGGAAAGACUUAUUGCAUUUCUUCAGAAUAUUGUUUGCUUACAAUUGAGUUUGAAGGAUCAAGUCUUCGAUUUACAAAAUUAACUGUCCAAAAAACAGAAUCCAAACUGUUUAAUUUUACCAUUCAACACAAAAACUAUUUGGUUGAGUUUUUGGAGAGAUGCUACUUGUUUGUAAGAUUUACUCUCCAAGAUUGUGUGAAUGGGCUUCAUAUUUUGAAGUUUUUAGGUUUGAUUUCUAUAAAAGGGAAUGGAUUGAAGUGAAAAGCAUUGGAAAUAAUGCAAUUUUCCUCACAGAUCAAUGUUACGGCUCAUGUUCCUCAGUAGCUGAAGAAUCUGAUAUAAGAAGAAACUCCAUUUACUAUACUCAAUAUGAAGAUAGAAACCUUUAUGUCUAUGAUUUGGAAGAUCGAAGUGUUACAACAUCUUUGCCUUGUCCCAUAGUCAGUCGUCGAAAAUCAUCUUAUUAUUGGAGUAUGUUACCAAUGACAAAUAACUCUUAAGAUUUAAUUUUUCUUUUUAGAAAAAAAAUUGUUAUGUAGUUGUUUUCUUUCUUUUUUUUUUCUUUAAUUUUUUAUUUAGUUUAAUAAAAUUAUGGUUGGUUGAUUUUUAAUUAACUUUUCUUUAUCCUUGUAUUCCAAUAAAUUAAUGCAUUUACUUAAUUUUAAUCUAUUUUUUUUUCUGGUAUUUGAGAUUACAAAUUAUUGAACUAUGAUCAUUAAAAUUAAAAGUAUAAUAUUCGAUUAAAAGAUUACACUAUUGUAGGCACUUUUGAUUUAAUGAUUUGUGAAUAAAAUGUACAAAAAAAAAAAAUGGUUCAGUUUUGACCUAUUUUCUUCGCAGCAGUUAAUAGCAUGUAUAAAUGUUUUAUGAUGAGUUUAUCUUGAUGUUGAUGUAAAGUUUCUUGGAAUUCUUUCUUAGCAUAUCAUUCAAGAGAUUCUUAAGGGUAUGUUUCUUAUUGAAUCAUGGUAAGGUUUUCUUUGAUUCACUUAAAAAAAAAUUAAUUUGUUGGUCCUUUAUUGUUGCCUUGCAGAUGGGUGAAUGCAAUGUAAUUUGGUUUGACUAUUAGUUGGGUCCAUUGAUAUCAAAUUUGUUAAUAUAUUUACGAACAUCUCAUUAUCACGUGGUUCCAUCCUGCUUGGACCAACUUGAAAGUCGUUAACUGAUUUAGAUUUCAUGGUCUGAACCCGCUCACAACCAAGCUGAGAACAAGACCUUGAAAGAUUUUAAAUUACUCCAUGGUCAUCCACAGAAGUUUAAACAUCUAAUAUUUCUCUUUUUGGCAUGCUAGUCUUAGUCUUUGCAUAAGCAUUUAAGUUUACCUUUUUCGGAUGAGACUCCUUCCUGGAAUGUCUGCUUUUUUCUGGUUUUGAGGUUGUAUUAACUUUUCUUUUCAACUUUCUUUUAAGCAAUGGAUCAUCUUUUAAAGUAACAUCAAACUAUGAGCAGCAAAUGGGAUUUAUUCUAUUCAACUCAGUGUUGCAUUUCUCUACAGCAUUCUUCUGAACCCUUUGCCAAACAAAAUGACUGUUCUCUGUUCCCAUUCAAAUAUGCAAGUUCCCUAUACUUCCAAGUUUGCAAGUACUUUAACUCCUAUGAAUAGAUUUACACUGCUUACCCCUCUUGCCUUGUGCAACCAUUCGCCCAUCAAAGCUGCGCUACAAGCCAGACCAUGCUUGGUUCCCUCAGUAAAAUCACGGGUUUCUGAAAUGCUACAUAAUGUGUUUUGACAAUAGGACCCCUUCUUGGUAUUGGAACCUAGUAAAUCUGAUUGACAGGUUUCAUUGCUGUUGUCGUUAAAUGGAUUAACAAUAUGACCAGCACUGAUGCCGUCUUCACUGUUUGAACCAACAGAAACUGAGUCCAACACUAGGAAAUCAUGCAUAUCAUAGAAAUCCUUCUCAUGUAAAUCUAUAAGAAAACCCAUAUGUGAAGGAUGUCUCCUCUCCACCCAUAGAAAGUCGCUGGUCUUCGCUACCAAUUUUAGAAUUAUCUGUAUGAUGCUCCCUAGGAAACUUCUGAACUUGAGAAGGUACAAUACAUUCAGGUAUAUCCACUUCAUCAAUGUCAGAUGUGUAUAUAUUUGGUGAUUGAAAACUUGUAACAAUACCAUUGCUGCUGUCUGCAAAAUCAGUUAUAUUAAGCAAACCAUCGGAUGGUGAAACUUCUAGUGAAGUUGCAAGUGAUCCAGAGUUCAUGUCAUUGUUACCACAAAUUUCGGAUGCUGAACUUCCAUGGAUAUACUCUAGCAAACUCUCUGGAGCCAACAUCACACAAAUGAAUUUUUAUGUUUUCCCUUCCUUCUUGUCUUCUUUCAUGAAUUUCUC